rnacentral:lncRNA from 1 species
UAUAUCACCACUUUUUAUAGGAUUUUUAUUUUCAGCCGUUAAAAAUUAUUGAUUUUGAAUCCUUUCGAUUGCUAGGUAAAUGAUAUCGAAAAAUCACAAAAAUUAUCUUCUAGAAAUUUAAAUACGUUAGAUCAAACUUAACGGAGCCGAUCGUCGAUUCGAAAACUCCAUCAUCGAAAAUGGCUCAGGACACGGUGCUCCUGAGAGCACAGCAGCCCUGCUAUAUAUAUAUAUAUAUAUAUAAUUAUAUAUAUAUAUAUAUAUAUAUAUAUAUAUAUAUAUAUAUUAUAGUUGGCUAGAAUACUAUUGGUAGUAAACGAGCCGUUUUACUAUCGAUUUGUUUUCAAUGAUAGAACGUCCAAAUUGACGAUCGGCUCCGUUGAACAUAAUCUAUACCACUUAAUGUGUUUAGAAAUCAAAUUUCAAAUCUUUUCGACAUCAUUUGCCUAAUGAUCAAAGGGUUUCAAAAUUUGUAAUUUUAAUGGUCGAUAAGAGCGUUUUAUCAUUUAAUGGCAUAAAGAUAUUCAAAUCAAUGUGAAUUUUGUUAGAAAAUUUUUUAAACUAGUUGAGUGUACGUACAAAUGCACGUAACAAUUAUUUUAAUUUAUUUUAAAUUAAUAAAAAUUGUAAUCAUAUUGAGUUAAGAAUUUAGAAUAAAAUAUUUUGUAAAUUUUAUAUGUUAUGUAUUUUAUUAGAAAAUAUCUACAAUAUAUUCUUGGAUAAGCAUAAUUUUUUUCUAUUUUAGAGAUAAAAAAAAUAAACAAAUUUCUAAUUAAAAUAUAGAUUCAUAGUAGAUACUUUUCGGUUGGCAAAAAUUUGGAUAAGUAUAUUUUUUUACUAUUUUAAAAUACAUGAUUUUAUUUUAUAUGUAGUAUAGAUAGUGUAGAUAUUAUAUUAUAGAUAGAGAUAAAAAAAAUUAAACAAAUUUUGAAUUAAAAUAUAGAUUUAUAGUAGAUAAUUUUUGGUUGGUAAAAAUUUAGAUAAGCAUAAUUUUUUUUAUCUCUAUCUAUAAUAUAAUAUCUACACUAUCUAUACUACAUAUAAAAUAAAAUUGAUUCCUCUUUUGGUUGGUAAAAAUUUAGAUAAGCAUAAUUUUUUUUUUCUGUUGUAGGCAAAAAUUUAGAUAAGCAUAAAUAUUUUUCUGUUGUAGAAAUAAAGAGGAAUUAAAAGUUUGUUCAAUUCUGUUAUUUUUUUUACGUAACAAAAGAGGAAUCAAUUUUUUUUUCAAUCCCCGCCAAAAAAUGGGUCUGUCGACAAACUAAAAUUUGAAAUACGUGCAUAUAUAUAUAUAUAUAUAUAUAUAUAUAUAUAUAGAGAGAGAGAGAGAGAGAGAGAGAGAGAGAGAGAGAGAGAGAGAGAGCGCACUAGGCUCCUAUGUUUUCGAAAGUAUGGAGACAUCCGUACUUGUAAGUUGUUUUCGAUGAUAGGACAUUCGAUUUGACGAUCGGUUCCGUUAGACAUGAUUCUACACUAUUUGAACUAUCUAGAAAUCAAAUUUUAUAAUUUUUUGACUUUGUUUGCCUAGUGAACAAAUAGCCUCGAAAUAAACGGUUGAAAAUAAAAAUCUCAUAAGAAAUAAUGAUAAAGGACUCAAAUUUCAAAUCGAAAGUAUUGUUCUUAUUUUUGAUGUCAAGUAGAAUUUUCUAUUAAAUUUUUAUGUAAUUUAUAUACUUCUACACCGUUGAAGUUAAAAACGUGUCACAUCGGCCGUUAAAAUAGUCAUUUUUGAGACCCUGUGAUUGCUGGGUAAAUAAUGUCGAAAAAUUAUGAAAUUUGGUUUAUAAAUAGUUCCAAUAACGUAGAUUAUACCUUAUGGAGCCGAUCGUCAAAUCGGAUAACAUAUCAUCGAAAAUAACUUAUAAGCACGGAAGCCUUCGUACUUUCGAAAGUACGGAAGACGUACUACAUAUAGAAUGAAUAACGCAGCGGGUAGCGUGCCUACCCAUGCAACAAAUAAAACUCUCAAACUUCGGUACUAAGACCAUGGCAUGGAUUCAAUCCCUUUCGGUGAAUUUGUAUACUUUUUUUAACUAUUUUGAGUAUUUGAAAGUAACUGGGCGAUGCAUUCACGCAGACGCAUUAAAUGUAGAUAGAGUCGUCAAAUGGCUAACCAACAUAUCUCAAAACAUGCGCGAAGGGAAUGGACAUAAAGAUUCAACGCGCACGCGUCAUGUAGCUUCGAUCUGAAUAUCCAUCUGAAUGUUAAAAUUAUUGCUGGAUCUCUUGUCAUUAGAUCUCUUACAUAUUUUUAUUGUGGAUUAAUUGCACUUUUCACUCAACUUAUCGGACUGGCCAACUCAUUUAUACGACCAGUUACAAUAAAAAAAGCAAUCAUCGACAGGGCGAGUUGAGGCGGCUGUGAGAGUGAAAAUGAUACAAGAAGUUAGACAAGGCUUGACACGAUGGGCGUGCAUAUGGAAAGACCAACGUGUAGGUAAUAUAGCGGCUAAUAAUUGACUGUGAGAAGAAAAAUAAUUGGUAGGCUGGGAUCAAUAGUGCAGUUAACUUAUAAUCCUAAAUUAAACAUGUAUACAUUAAAACACUGACUCAAAAUAGCUAAACAAGCUUUCUUUCAUCUUCACGCAUAUAUAUAUUUUAUAUAUAUAUAGAGCAGGGCUGCUGUGCUCUCAGGAGCACGGAGGCCUCCGUGCUCCUGUAGCCGUUUAAUAAUGGAUUUUCGAAUCGACGACGGCUCCGUUAGACUUGAUCUAGCGCCAUUUGAAGUUUCUGAGAAAUAAUUUUGCGGAUUUUUCGUAUCAUUUUACCUAGUGAGUCGAAGAUUAAAUCUUAAUUUUUUAAUGGUUGAAUAUCUGCCGUUUUCAAGUUUAACGUGUAGAAUAUUCAAAUCAGAUGAAAUUUUGAUAGAAAAUUCUUUAUACUAGCUACAACAAGAUGCUAUAUUUCUGAUCGAUAAAUUUUAAGUGGCUAUAUCACCACUUUUUAUAGAAUUUUUAUUAUUCAGCCGUUAACAUUUAUUGGUUGAAUCCUUUCGAUUGCUAGGUAAUGAUAUCGAAAAUCGCAAAUAUUUCUAGAAACUUUAAAUACGCUAGAUUAAGUUUAACGGAGCCGAUCGUCGAUUCGAAAACUCCAUCAUCGAAAACCGGCUUAGGAGCACGGAGCCUCCGUGCUCCUAAGAGCACAAGAGCCCUGCUAUAUAUAUAUAUAUAUAUAUUAGAAUUAUGCUACUUAUCUAUCAAUAGUACCAAGCCUUGGUACUAUUGAGUUUUUGGUCGUGAAUGAAAGAAUGUGCGGUUAGGAUGAUAGUGGUCCCGUUAAAUUGAUAGUAGUCUCCUAGGUUGAGUGGGUGGUUGGUUAAAGUAUUAUCUUACGUGGAAAUGAUCAAAGGUGUAUUCUAACGGUAGAAACUCAAUAGUAUCAAGGGCUUGGUAUGUCAAUAGUAUACUAGCCCGGCACUGUAUAUAUAUAUAUAUAUAUAUAGCAGGCUGCUGUGCUCUAGGAGCACGGAGGCCUCCGUGCUCCUUGAGCUGUUUUCGAUGAUGGAAUUUUCGAAUCGACGAUCGCUCCGUUAGACUUGAUCUAGCGCAUUGAAAUUUCUGAAAAAUAAUUUGCGAUUUUUCGAUAAUUUACCUAGCGAUCGAAAGGAUUCAAAAUCUAUAAUUUUUAAUGGUUGAUAUCUGCCGUUUUCAAGUUUAAACGGAUGGUAAAAAGUAUUUAAAUCAGAUGAAAUUUGAUAGAAUUUUUAUACUAUCUACACAAGAUCUAUAUUUCUGAUCGAAAAUUUUAGUGCCUAUAUCACCACUUUUUAUAGGAUUUUUAUUUUCAGCCGUUAAAAAUUAUUGAUUUUGAAUCCUUUCGAUUGCUGGUAAAUGAUAUCGAAAAAUCACAAAAAUUAUCUUCUAGAAACUUUAAAUACGUUAGAUCAACUACUAACGGAGCGAUGGUCGAUUCGAAACAGUCGAUCAUCGAAAAUGGCUCAGGAGCACGGUGCUCCUGAGAGAACAGCAGCCCUGCACUAUAUAUAUUAUAUUACUUAUAUAUAUAUAUAUAUAUAUAUAUAUAUAUAUAUUAAUAUAUAUAUUAGUUGUGCUAGAAUACUAUUGGUAGUAAAGAGCCGUUUUACUAUCGAUUUGUUUUCAAUGAAUAGAACGUCAAAUUGACGAUCGGCUCCGGUGAACAUAAUACUAUACCACUUAAGUGUUUAGAAAUCAAAUUUUCAACUUUUCGACAUCAUUUGCCUAAUGACAAAGAGGUUUAAAAUUUGUAAUUUUAAUGGUCGAUAAGAGGCGUUUUAUCAUUUAAUGCAUAAGAUAUUCAAAUCAAUUGAUAUUUUUGUUAGAAAAUUUUUUAAACUAGUUGAGUGUACGUACAAAUGCAAGUAACAAUUAUUUUAAUUUAUUUUAAAUUAAUAAAAAAUUGUAAAUCAUAUUGAGUUAAGAAUUAGAAUAAAAUUUUUGUAAUUAUAUGUUAGAAAUAAACAUAGCUAGAAAUGUGAAUAAACUAGGAUUCAAACUUGGGUCUCGGAUACCAACCACCAAGCCCUUUGCCACUUGAAUUUAUAAAAGGGCAAGAGUAAUAAAAAUCUCAUAAAACAUGAUGAUGGAAGAUUUGAAUUUAAAAUCAGAGGUACUGAUCUUACUCUAAAUAGUAAAAAGAAUUUUCUAUAAAAAUUUCAUCUGAUUUGGAUUAUUUUACACCGUUAAAUUUACAAAUGCAUCACAUCUACCAUUAAAAUUAUCAAUUUUGAGACCUUUUGAUCACUAGCGAAAUGAUGUCAAAAAAUUAUGAAAUUUAGUUUUCAAAUAUUUUUAAUAUUGUAGAUCAAGUUUAACGGAGCCGAUUGUCGAUUUGGAAGCGGCAUCAUUAAAAACAACUUGGGACUUUCGAAUCGAUGAUCAGCUCCGUUAGACUUGAUUUAGAGUAUUUUAAGUAUCCAGAAAAUAAAUUUUGUGAUUUUUUUAUAUCAUUUGCCUAGUGAUCGAAGUGACUCAAAAUUAACGGCUAAAAAUAAAAAUCUCACAAAAUAUGAUGACAUGACAUUAAAAUUUUAGAUCAACAUAUUAAUUUUAUUUUAUAUAGUGUAAAGAAUUUUAUAUCAAAAUUUCACGUGAUUUGGAUAUUUCUACACCGUUAAACUUGCAAACGGCUCACCACGGCCAUUAAAAUUAUUGAUUUUGAGCCNAUGGGACGAGAAAAGUGAAGAGGAGCAGAGGCGGCAGUGACGACAGUGACAGCAGAGUUGAAGAGAAAAGAGAAGUGCUGUGAGAGAUGGAGAGAAGAAAGGUGGAAGAAGAGAGAGGUAAAAAACUGGGGAUGAAAAAGAAAUUUUUUUUUUCCUCAUUGAUGUAGAACAACUCGAGCUUUUGAGCUGUUCUAGCAUUUAAGGAGAACAACCUGUUCUGGGAUAACUCUGUUUGAUCGGGAUAUCACAUACCCAUCAUUUUUUUUAGGAACAAAUUGGUGGAUAUCCCCCUUGUUUUGGAAAAAUCACCAACCAAAUAGUGCCUUAAAAAAAACGCUUUAACCUCCUUAAAACUUAAUAAUCUUUAUAGUUAACCACUUUCGUUAUUAUAUUGAUUCCAUUAGAAAUUUAUUUUAAUAUCGUACUUGCCUUUCUGCUAGCUCCAAUUUCUCUCCUUUUUUGUCCUUUUUCUCAUGUAUUUUUCGCUUCAAAUUAAUAUGAUAGAUGCGAAAAAAUUAUAUUAAGAGGUUCUAAACCUUCUUUGUCAAUGUGACACCUCUUAAUAUUUAUAGGUAGUACUCGAGUUAUUUCAAUCAAUUAAAUUGAAGGCUUAAUUAAAUUAAUUAUUGAUUCUAUUGAAUUUUAUAUUGAGCAUUCUGGUACUUGCUCUAAUACUAGUUGUUGAGAAUUCACAACCCACUCUGAUACCGAUUGCUGUAAAUCUGGCACUUGUUAUGGUACUGAUUGUUUGCAUUACGCGAAAAAAGCGUCCAAUUGAAUUUUUACCAUAAACCUAUCUUCUUAGCGAAAAUUGAUACAAACACAAAAAAGAGAAAAAUCAAAUAGAAAGUAUAGAUGAAAUAAAUUUCACUAACUAAGAAAAAAAUUACACCUGACUCCUCUUUUACAUAGAAUAGUUUCAACCCAAGCCCUUUUUCUGAAUCUCCCUCCUCUCAAUCUUGAUUCUAUGAAUUCUAAAGACUACUCUCUCUUUUUCUAAAUCAAUGAACAAGAUAUACCGAUGAUCCACAGCCACAAAAGUCGCACACGUCCGCUUACACCCAUGCACCAAAUGCACCUAAAACCCUGAACACUUUGGGCUGUACACGACAUGGCUUUCGACUAAGACGUAUGGCCCAUCAAGAGCACCCACAACAUGGCCAUAAUUGUGCUUAUAUAAUGCACACUCAAAACAUACCCAAUCCUAGUACAAUUAUUGUCAUGCCCCGAAUUACUCGUUUCCCCGGGCACGCUAACAGACCCGCCGUAUGCAUAGAAAUUUUUUUUGUAUACGAAGCGAUAAAUGUACCUGUACUUAUAAUAAUAUAAUACUACAACCAGUAGUAUAGAGCUACUAGAAAGAAAUACAUAUAUAAACAACAUCGGUCCCAAUACAUACAUAGUAUCCUGAUACAAAAUCACUCGCUCCAGCGAGGAACAAAUAUCAGUAUAUACAAGAACAAAAAACUAGCACUAUGUUGAAGCAUAAAAAAAAAAAAUAAAAUAAAAUAAAAUAAAAGAGAAAGAAAAAAAGAGAAAGAGAGAUGGUAUAUGAGAUGAUCCAUGCACUAGGUGCAUGGAUAAAAUUUAAGUUCAAAUUUUGAACCUGAUGCAUAGGUUAAUCCAUGCACCAGGUGCACAGAUAUCAAAAGUGGGAUGUUCUCGUAGGCAUGAAUGGAUGUUGCAAAAAGCAAGUUAGUCCUUUCCCUUUCAUAUAUUUGCAAGAUGCUCCUUCAAACAUAUAAUAUUCUGUUAUUUUAACUAAAAUAUAAUAUAAACAAAAGGGAAGGACUAAUAUACAAUUUAAUACCCAUGACCUCACGAUCCCAUCGUAACUUCCAACCUCUCCCACAAAUCCCACCAUACGCACGAUCCCAAACAGUUACGACUGAUCCCAUAAAUAUCUCCCGAUGAGAAAGAGAGAGGGAGACAAGUUGUUUUUGAAUUCUCUCAAACCCAUUCCAAAACCCAAUCCCAUUCCUGUGUCUACGAAAGAGAAAAGAAAGGUAAAAAAAAAAAGGGAUAAUUGCCUAUAUACCCUUCAUGCGUUCGGAAAUAUCCGAUCUACCCCUACUUUUUUUUUCUUUCUAAAAUGUCCCUCAUACGUUCCACCGUUAUUCCAAAAUACCCCCGCAGUUAUCCCCUGUUAGCUUAACUCGGGUUAAACAUGGGUUAAAUCUAUACUAGAGUUAAAACCUGAACAAAAUACCUAUUUUGCCCCUACUUUAUUAUAGUAAUCCCUAAGAUUAUCCUCUCUUUCUUCCCCAAUUUUGUCGCCACCACCGGCCGACUCCUCCGCCACCACCGGCCGGCUCCUCCGCCUCUACCUCACCUCCUCGCCUCUUCUCCUCCCAGACCGCCACACCGUCCCCCCACUUCCAACAUCCACCAUUGUCUUGAUUUGUUUUCGUCUUCCUGGCCGCCGGCUUCAUCGUGGUCUCGGCGUUCCUCUUCUCCGCGCCUUGGCCAUGGCCGUAGGGAGAUCGCGGGAGAAGAGCGGGGCCGCGGCGACGAUCCAUCUUCUCGCCUUCGUCGUCCUUCUCCUCAUCCGUGCCUUGGCCGGCGCCUAGGAGUAAGAGGGGCGCGCAUCGGACCCUGCACGCCUUAUGCUUCCAGAUCGCCUGAAAACUAAGGGUAAAUAAGAACGUAUUUGCAGUAUAUGAAGACUGGUAUAUUAAGAGUUUGUAUCGGUACAAGAGGUUAUAUGGUUAUUUAUCCUAUGUCGGCUAUGGGUAUUAUGUUCAGAGCUAACGGCAGCUCACUAACGAUACUUAAUCUAGGUCGGUAUUUUUAGAAAACUUGGAAAUAGAAGGAUCGAUUUUCAUAAUUAGCCUUUCUAUAGAGGGGAUCGUAAAUAAGGAAACGGGGAACUUUCAGGGGUAUUAGGCAAUUGUUGCCCCAAAAAAAGAAUGAUUGACUUUUUCUUUUCCCCGACUGAAUGGCGCAUAUCAUAAGCUCACCUUCUUCGUUAAAAAAAAAAAGAAAAACAAAGAAGAAAAAAAAGAAAAAAAAAGAGACAAAAUAGAGAAAAAAAGAUCUUCAGGAUCUCUUUCUCUCUCUCUCUCUCUUUCUCUCUUCUCUCUGCUCCCGUCGAAACCCUUUGCCGAACCAUGGCGAUCGUGCCCAAUUCCUCCUGCUGAUCCUCACAUAAGGACCGAGACACCUAUACGACGAGCUCACUGAAGUCGCCCUUGCGAAGAUAGAGAAGCGACAGAUGAGGCCUACGGCCGGCCGGCACCGGUGGGGACGACGACGCGACGACGAGCGACGGAGUGCGCUGCGGCGGCGGUCCGCGGCUCACGAGGCGGGACGAGAGUGCGUGGGCGCUCUCUGCGACUCUCCGGCGCGAACGGCGCUCUUCGCGUGGCCGAGCGCGCGGGAAUACGCAUGUGAAUGUACCGUGGCGCGAUGUGGCCUCCGUGCAACGGUGCGGCGCGCGUGUUCGAGGAGGGCACGCUUCGAGAGACCCAGAGGUCAUCGCAAGCUCUUUUUGGUGGCCGCGGCGUCGUCCAGAAGGCCUCAGCAGGCUUCCGAGUCGACGCGUAGCAAAAGAUGGUUCGACGCCGAAGCCGGAAUCGUGAGCGUGAGGUGGGACGUGAAAUCGAACCCCGAGCGAUACCGCUCUGAGGCCGCCCUGCGUCGCGUCGCAAGACGCCUUGACCCGGCGGGGUGCGCUCCAAGUCGGCUCAUCGGGCCACUCCUCGCAACCCAUGCUCCAAUCCUGAGGUGCAGCUUCCGGACCGCUCCGGGACUGCUGACCGGGCCGCUCCGAGAGCGCGUGAUCGCUCCUCGCCACACCAUGACCACCUGCGUUGACUUCGAGAACACCCGGAGGCCCGACGCGAGGCCGCUUUCUCGACAGAUCUCCGCGGCGCAAUGGCCGGCGGACUCGCCUCAAACUCCUCCGCAAGAUGGCCAUGUACUCCGACAAUCACCGCAACUGCUCGUCGGCUCCUCCUCGAACUCGAAGCCGCGCCACCCGCGGCCGAUCCGCCCGAAGCCGCGCCACCCGCGGCCAAUUCGUCGAUGCCCAUGCCGAGCCGCCGCCCAUGACUCUGCUCGUGAUCUCGGCCGAGCCGCGCCACCCGCGCGCCGUCGUCGACUUUGAUGGCUCGAACCCGAGGAGUUCCCUCUGAUGCCGCGUCGCUCCACCUCGAAGACCGCAGCCCCGUCGAUGCCGCGCCGCUGUCGUGGCCCUUCACCGCUGCAGAGCGUCGUCGUCACGGCCCUCCUCCGUCGCGGUCUCAGAUCCGCGGCUCCACUGUCAGGUCACAGCCCCAGCGGAGCUCCGUCAUCAACAAAGCCCGCCAACCGCUCGACGGCGAACCUGAGAGAGAGAGCGGUGCUCUCCUCUCAAACGGAGUCCGCCCACCAACCGCUCGACGGCGAACCUCUCCUCUCAAACGGAGUCCGCCCACCAACUGUUUGACGAAAUGCCCAAGACAUAUCUUUCGACGGCGAACCUGAGAGGGAGCGGUGCUCUCCUCUCAAACGGGUUCCGCCCGCCAAUUGCUCGAUGUGCCCGGAGUCCGCCCACCAACCGUUCGACGGCGAAUCUGAGAGAGAGAGCAGUGCUCUCCUCUCAAAUGAAGUCAAGUCCGCCAACCGCUCCGACGGCGAAACUGAGAGAGAGAGCGGUGCUCUCCUCUAAAAAAAAGAGAAAGAGACGUUACUUCUCCAAUGAUAAAAAGAGAGAGAGCUUAGUUAAUGUUAGGGAGGCAAGGAAGGGAUUUUUUAUCCCGCCUUAGUUGUCCCACGAAUGUAAAAGAGAUAAAAAGAAAUUAUUCAUCUCUGUUAUAUUAUAUUUUUAAAAGAGAUAAAGAGAAAAAAAUGUAUUCUCUUAAUUCUCAUUCAAUGAAGAAAUGAAAGAAAAUUAGUCGGAUUUUCGAUUAAUAUUCUUUUGAUUGUUCUUUUAACAGUGUUCAAAAAUAAUCGAACCCUUCAAUUGAACCUUUCGAUUUGGUCGAAUUAAAUCGAAUCAAUAUUUAAUUAUAUUUCGGAUGAAUUUGAUUUUGAACUAAAUGUUUAAAUAUUUUGAUUUCGAAUCUCAUAUAGACCAAACUAUAUUCAUCUCACAAGUUCAUUAAGACCAGCCCAAACGCAAAUCUAGGCCCAAUUACAUGAUCUGCCUAAAAGAAAAUUUGGACUUAUGCCAUCAGGCCUAAAUUAAGCCCAAGCCCAUAUGUAACUUAAGCCCCAACAUUAUAUGGGCCUGAAUUUGACCUAUGUUUGAAUGCAAUUGUAUAAAUCCAACUUUGGGCCAUUUUAAACCCAUGAAACUAUAUAUAUAGCCCAGAUCCAAAUUUUAAAAAACUAUAUGGUCUGGAAUCUAGCCCAAAUUCAGAUUCACAACCAAUCAAAUCUUACAUUGAGCCCAAAUCCAAAUCCCGUAUUGAACCCAAAUCCAAAUCCCAUAUCAAGCCCAAAUCAAAUUGAGCCCAAGCCCAAAUGAGCCCGAAUUCAACUCCAAAUCCAAAUGAGCCAUAUUGAACCCAAAUCUCAAUCCAAAAUGAAUUCGGCCCAUAUGAAGCCCAAAUCCAAAUCAAAAUAUGAAGCCCAAAUCCAAACCAAAACAUGAAGCCUAAAUCCAAAUCAAAAUGAAACCAGUCCAUGUUAAGCCUGAAUCCCAACCCAAUAGCCAACCUACACAAUUAAACCAAACCCAAUCCAAUUAUUUAUCCAAAUUGAUCCAAGCCAAACCCAACCCAAUUAAUUCCAAUCCGAAUGAGCCCAUAUCAAACCUUUUCUCUAGCAUAUAUAUAACUAGAGCUAAAUCUUGACAUAGUCAAACUCGAUCAAAUUCUAAAAAUGUUUGAUUAGAAUUGAUCAAACCAUAUACCAGGUUUCACCUAAUCAAAUCAAUUGAACUCUAAUAUAUCUACUUAGAGUUCAGAUAAAUGAAAUUAAAUUAAACUCUAAUACACACACUUAGAGUUUAAUCUUGACUAAUCCUAACUUAUAGAAUUAGGAUUCAGUUGAUAUUUUACCUUAUGAUAAACCCAAAUUCAUCUAUUGAUUAGACUCUAAUACAUACACUUAGAGUUUAAUUUCGGCUAAUCCUAACACAUAUAAUUAGGAUUUGGCCCGCAUCUCGCUACAUGGUGGACAUAAAUUCAUCUUAUGGCGAACCCAAAUGAAAUUAAAUUGGACUCUAAUAUAUACAUUUAGAGUUUAAUUUAAAAUAUUUGACUAAUCCUAACAUAUAUAAUUAGGAUUUAGUUCGUGUGAAACUAAAUUAAACUCUAAUACAUACACUUAGAGUUUAAUUUAAAUCAAAUUUUAACUAAUCCUAAUACAUAUAAUUAGGAUUUAGUUAAUAUUUAACCUUAUGGUGAACUUAAUUAAGCUCGAACAUAUAAGCAUAGAGCUUAAUUAUAUUAGACUUUAAAAUGUAAAAUUAGAGUCUAAUCCAAAAUAUUUGAGCUAAUCCUAACACAUACAUUUAGGAUGAAAGCUUAAAUCAAAUCCCAUUGGACUUUAUCACAUAUCUUUAAAGUUCAAUUAACUAAAUCAAACUCUAAUUCAUUUAAUUAGAGUUUAAUUUGAAUCAAAUCUGAUUAAAUUCCAAUGUAUAUACAUGGAAUUUAAUCAACCGUUCAUCUUAGGGUGAACAAUAUGGUUAAGCACUGAAACAUAUAAAUCAAUUUGAUUAUAUACUUUGAUAUCUUGGUUCAGAAUCAAAUUCAAUCAACCGUCGUACUGAAUUAUGUUAUAAAAUUCAUCUUUUAUUCAAUCACAGCAUUACAAAGGUCUCUUAAUCGAAGGUGCCCUAACACUUUGUAGGGGUAAUUAACAAUAGACGCUUGCGUUUAUUGGAAGCCAUGAAUCCACAAUACCUGAUAACCAUACAUACACAUACUUUAAUCUACAUCAUGAAUACUAUCCCACGGUGGAAAAUCAAAAUAAGAUCAACCGUGCGAGGUACGUCAUUCGUGGUGGCAGACACACUACCUGUAGCUGGUAUAUCUCUAGAUCAGCAGCAACACUGGAAGGGAUCUAACUCGCGACUUCCUUUCCAUGAUCAGUAUCCGUGACCGUAGCAGCCAAAAAAGAAGGCCCUACAAAAAGGAUCCACAACUGGGUGUGAGAACUACUGCAAAAAGAAGUUGUCCUCAGUGGGUACCGCUACCUACCUCAACGGCUCACCCACUAAGUCUACAAAGGUAAGCAAGGAUAGUGAGGAAAGCUAGAACAAAUCUACAGUAUAAGCCACUAUACUAUCAUGAUCCAACACUAACUAUCUGUAGAAGAUACAAGUCCUGACCUUAUUUCACUAGGGACUGUGAACACACCCGUUCUCCUAUCGAAACGAACUCGUAUACUACUCCAUGAGUAGCCGGUGGAGAAAAGUGUUGGAAAAAUCUUUCUGAUCUUUUAUUAUAAUAUUUUUUAAAAACCAAAUCGGAAAUUAAAAUUUAAGUUUGGAAAAAUCCCAAAACAAAAUUAAACAAAAAUAUUGAAAAUAUAAGGUUUAGAUAAGGCCUGUGGAUCGAGGCGUGCAGAGCACUGUCCUAAAAGCGAAAUUGCCCCUCCACGUGCGAGGCUUCCCGGCAAUUACUCCUAGCGAUACAACGACCACGUUCCACCCCGUCGGCGCGCUUUCAAGGUGGCGCAAAACGAACCCAACCAACUUCAGAUCCAGCAAUAAAAACUCGGCGAAAAUUAAUAGCAAGAAAGUAGAAAAAGACGAGAGGGUUUAGGUAUGCUCGGAUUAUUAUUAUUCAUCAUUAACUCGUGGACCUUCGCCCCAUAUUUAUAAUCAAGGCGAGAAUCUUGUUCUAUCUCAUUAAAUCUGAGUAGAAUAAGAUAAGCCUAAGAUUAUACCUAAAAGGAUUAGGAUUAGGACAAAUAUAAAGAUAAAAAUAAAACUCAAAGAAUAAAUCACAACAAACCAAUAAAGAAAUCCAAUCAAAUAGUUUUAAUAAGUUUUAAAUCAUAACAAACUCAGUAUCCGUGACCGUAGCAGCCAAAAAAGAACGCUCUACAAAAAGUAUCCACAACUAGGUGUGAGAACUACUGCAAAGAGAAGUUGUCCUCAGUGGAUACCGCUACCUACCUCAACGGCUCACCCACUAAAUCUACAAAGGUAAGCAAGGAUAGUAAGGAAAGCUGGAACAAAUCUACAGCUAUAAGCCACUAUACUAUCAUGAUCCAACACUAACUAUCUGUAGAAGAUACAAGUCCUGACCUUAUUUCACUAGGGACUGUGAACACACCCGUUCUCCUAUCGAAACGAACUCGUAUACUACUCCAUGAGUAGCUGGUGGAGAAAAGCUCUCUAGGGACUGAAUAUACCCGUCCCGCCUAACUAGGCUACACCAUAUCUCAAAAGUAACGGGUAGAGAAAACUCUUUAGAGACUGUGAAUACACCCGUCUCGCCCAACUAGGCUACAUCGUAGCUCAAGGGUAGCCGGUCCAAGUAACAAAAGUCCGACAGGACGGCUGUGACUCCACUCACGUCACAACCUCACUGAAGGUAGAGAAAAGCAUCACUAACUACCACUAAUCCAAUCUCACACGGGCUGCACAAACGGACCCACCCUGCCUGUAUCGAGCUACGCUGUACACCACCCACUGGGGUGGCCAGCAUAAGAACUGUCCCAACAGAAACUGCGGCCUCAUCGCACUAAAACCUCAUUCCGGAAUAGCAUUCGUGGGCGCGACCCAACCGAGUUUACAAGUGUUUCUGCGAAGUUCAUUUGGCGCUCACAGGCUAUAGUGAAAACAGAAGGGUCUAACUGAUCUAACAACCAUAAUCUACGUGCCUUCGACACAAUCUGAUGCAAAAACUGCAAACUGGGUCCACCGUCAACCACAACGGCACCCGACAGUCCGAAAUAGUCUAUACUCUACUAUAAAAAUAAACUCAGCAUCCCAACACGAGCGUAAAUACAUUCUACACUAUCCUGGGUAUCCACCGCCCACAAACUGCGACGAUACAAACAAACUACGGCUCCUAGAGCUAAAUCUGGUAGUUUCAGAAAAUGACGGUGUAGAAUCGGCAGUUUUCUUCUAAGUCAAUUCCAAAUCCAACAUGUAUAAUUAAACUAACAUUUUACGCUCCAAAUUCAAAUUUCUAUAGGCAUGCAAAUCCAUAAAUUUGAGCUAAUUAACAAAAUAUACAAUGUCCAAACAUACACGCUGACUACACUAGACUUAGGAGGAAAUCCGUAGAAUCUAGUAAACAUAUCAUUAACCCACAUCAAAAGCGCGUCCAACAACGGCGAGAAGUCAAUAGGAGAGGAACAACGCGCUCGCCCGGCCUCCCAACGACGCAACUACGACAUCCGCGUACUCGAACGGCUCCCCGGCGCGUCCUCGGUGUCGAUCCGAGCUCGAGCUCGAUCCGCGACCUCCUCCACACGCACGGUCAAGGACUAGAGAGAAAGGGAAAACAGCAAGAAAAUCCCUUCUACACGCUCUCUGCAGGUAUAAGAAGGUUGAGGAGGCAUUGGUUUGAACGAUACAUCAAAAGACCCUCACCUACCCUGGAGUGCCGGUAUCAGGCCGAUGCCGUACUGGUACAUCGCAACAGCAAAUGGCAACCUGAGAGCAACAGUUCGGAAAAUUACACUGGGUACCGGUAUUCCCCUGCAUGGUACUGGUACAAAAUGCUAAAAAUCUACAAUUUGUAGAUUUCAGUGCUAACUUUCUGUUCUCGCGUCUCACUGAGUCUGGUUUGCGUCUAUUUCGCGCCAACAUGACUCGGACUUGUUCCGACACUCUCCAGAUGUGUCGACAAGCCUCAGAUGCCUAAAACCUAGGUUCUACAUAUAUAUAUAUAUAUAUAUAUAUAGUAUAUAUAUAUAUAUUAUAUUAUAAUAUAUAUAUAUAUAUAUAUAUAUCAUUUAUAUAUAUACUAUUAUAUAAUAUAUAGAGUAGGCUGGUAUACUAUCAGUAGCACGGAGCCUCCGUGCUACCAACGUUGUUUUCAAUGAUGCCGGACUUCUAAUUCGUACGGAUCGCUCCGUAGGACUUGAUCUACCUUUUAAAAGUAUUUGGAAACUUAGAAUUUCAUUAAUUUUCGGCAUUAUUUACUAUCAAACGAGUAGUCUACAAUAAGACGAGUGAAAUAUAAAAUCUCAUUAAAACAAUCGGAUAAAGGGAGUUCAAAUUUUCAAUCGGAAUAUUGAUCUUGCUUUUGUGAUUAAGUAGAAUUUUCUAUUCUAAUUUUCAUCUAAUUUGGAUACUUCAUAUAUACGUUGAACUUAAAAAACGCAGGGAUCAUAUCUACUAUUUAAAUGUAAUUUUGAACUUUUGAUCUACUUAGCAAUAUGAUAUCAAAGAUUUAUAAAAUUAGAUUUCGAAAUACUUUUAAUAGUGUAGAUCUAUAUUCUAAAGAGUCUCGUAUGUCGUCGAUUUGAAAGCCCGCUCAUUGAAAACAACUUCACGGUAGCACGGACGAGCCUCGUGUACGAUAGUAUACCACCUAGCUCUAGUAUAUAUAUAUAAUAUAUUAGAAUAUCUACUAUAUAUCACAUCGUCCAAAAGGGCCCUGUACAUUGAGUUUUUGGCCGGUUGGAUGAAGAGAAUGUGCGCGUUAGGAUAUAUGCGUCCCCGGUUAAAAAGUGUCCCUAGGUGUGAGUGGGUGGUUGGAUUUAAUAGUAUUAUCUAACGGGUGGAAAUAACAAGGGUAAAUCUAACGUAGAAAACUCAAUAGUAUCAAGGUUGUACUCAUCAUAGUAUAGUAGCUGGACUCUCUCUCUCUCUCUCUCUUCUCCUCUCUUCUCGCUCUCUCUAUAUAUAUAUAUAUAUAUAUAUAUAUAUAGAAUUAGUGCCCCUUAUACUAUCUAUUAGUACUUUGAGUCUCCGGUACAUAGCUUUGUUUUGAUUUAGGGUAGUUCCAAAUUAACGAUCCACACAUUUACAAUAUAUCUAGGGUCUAUGGAAGUUGCUUAGGAUAUAAAAUUUUUAGGUUUUUUUUGACAUCGUUUACUUAGUAAAUAAAAUUUAUGUCAAAGAUGGACUGGUUAAAAAUUAAAUAAUACUUUUAAAUUUGAUAAGAGGACUUUUAAAUUCUAGAAGGUCACGAAUGUUAACCUUAAUCUAGAUUAGUUUAAAGUAUUUUCUAUCAAAAUUUGAGAAGUUUAGAUUUUUCUACACCGUCUAACCCCAAACUCACCAUAGUUACGCCAUUGAAUUGACAAUUUUGUGAAACGUGUGAUCAUAACAGUAACUAUGUGGAAAAAAUAUAAAAUUUAUUUCUAAAAUAAAUACCCUAGAUUAGUUUUACGGUUGUAGAUAUGAUUUGAACACCUAAAGACAUCUGAAAACAGACGGACUAUAGAUACCGGAUGUCCCCAUAUAAUAGUAUAGCAGACAGCUCGCUCUCUCUCCUCUCUCUCUCCUCUCUCUCUCUCUCCUCUCUCUCUCUCGCUUAUAUAUAUAUAUAAUAUAGUAUAUCAUAUAGCUUGCCUAGAAUACUUUCGUAAAUACGAGCCGUUUUUACUACCAUUUGUUUUCGUAUUGAUAGAAACGUUCUAAUUGGACGAUCUGCUCAGUUGAACAUGAUCUAUACCACUUGAAGUGUUUAGAAAUCAAAUUUCAAAUCUUUUCGACAUCAUUUGCCUAAUGAUCAAAGCGGCUUUCCAAAUUGUAAUUUUAAUGGUCAAAUAAGAGGUUUUUCUCGUUCAAUGCGCUUAAAGAUAUCCAAAUGAACUUUUGUUAGAAAUUUCUUUAAAUCUAUUUAAAACAAGAGCUGAUACUCUUGAUUUUGAUUACAGACCCAUCAUUAUUUUUUAAAGAGUAUUCAUUCUCAGGUCAUUCAUUUUGUCUGUUCAUCUUGAUGGAUAAAAGAACAAUCCGAAAGUGCCUGAAAUUUGAUAGCAAAAAAAGCAUCUUUACUAUCUAAUAGUAUUCCGUCUACACGAAAAGGCCUCCGUACUUCCAGAAGGAUAGUGUAGCCUUAACAUAUAUGACUAUAUAGUAUAUAUAAUAUAUAUAAUAGCAUGAAAGUCCGUACUUCCAGAAGUAUAGUAGCCUUAACAAUUAUUAUAUAUUAUAUAUAGUAUAGAUAUAUAUAUAUAUAUAUAAAAUAUAUAUAUAUAUAGAUAUAUAUAUUAUAUAUAUAUAUGUGUGUUAAGGUAGCUAUACUUCUGAAGCACGGAGCCUUUGUGCUUCCAGGUUUUUUCCAUGUUGCUGACUUCCGAAUCGUCGAUCGGCCUCCGUUAUACUUGAUCUAGAGUAUUUGAGUAUCUAGAAAAUAAAGUAUGUGAUUUUUCGAUAUUAUUUGCCUAAGUGAACGAGGGCUCAAAAAUCAACGGCUGAAAAUAAAAAUUUACAAAAUGUGAUAAUAUGACCAUUAAAAUUUAUCAAUCAAAGAAUGUAAUUUUUAUAUAUAGUAUAAAAAUUUUCUAUCAAAAUGUUUCACGUGAUUGAUUCGGAUUAUUUCUACACGCGUUAAAGCUUCCAACGGCUCACUACGGCCAUUAAAUUAUUGAUUUUGACCUCUUCGAUCCACUAGGCAAAUUAAUAUCGUAAAAUCUAAAAUUUAUUGUCCUAGGUACUUUCAAAAUACUCUAGAUCAAGUUUAGCGGAACGCGUGAUCAACAUUCGAAUACUCGCACAAUCCGAAAAACACCUGGAGCACGGAAGUCUCCCGUACUUUCCAAAACAUAUAGUAAUAAUAUAGUCAUAUAUAUAUAUAUAUAUAUAUAUAUAUAUAUAUAUAUGUAUAUAACUAGACUAAUAGUACUAUAAUGCAACAAAGUCAUUGGUCGCUACCAAGUUUAUUGGCCAUUUGAUUAAGGGCAUGUGCGGUCUAGGAUAUGUGAGCUCCUAGGGGAUACGUGGUUUGGUUUGAAAUAGUAUAUUCUAACGGAGACGAAUAAUGAUUCAAAAGAUUAGACUCUACUGCCUGAAAACUUGGUACAGCACAUUGUUCGUGCCUAGUAAUAGAUAGUUAGCGGGACUCUCUCUCUCUCUCUCUCUCUGACUCUCUCUCUCUCUAUAUAUAUAUAUAUAUAUAUAUAUAUAAUUGAGCUAGAAUACUUUUAGAAGCACCAACCCCUUGGUGCUUCUAAGUUUCUAGCCCUUGGAUCUACUUCUUGAUCCAACAGCUAAAAACUUGAUAGCAAAAAAGUCCUUUCGCUAUCAAUAGUAUUGUAGCCCAACUAUAUACAUGUAAUAUAGGGUUACUAUACUUUUAUGAGUAUAAAGCCCUUCGUAUUCAUAAGUUGUUUUUGAUAUUGGGGCUUUCGAAUCAAUGAUCCACAGCGUUAAACAUGAUCUAGAGUAUUUGAAACUUCUUGAAAAUAAAUUUCGUAAUUUUUCGAAUAAUUAUAAAGUCCAUCAAGCGGGUACAAAAUAAACGGUCAAAAUCGAACGACAUCCUAAAAAUGAAUGAUCGGAUGCUUCAAUUUAAGAUCAGAGUUAUUGAUCUUUUAUUUAGGUAGUGACUAGAAUUUUCUAUCAAAAAUUCAACCUAAUCCGAUUCUUUUACACCAUUAAAUUAGCAAGUAUCCCAUCCGGCUGCUAAAAAUUUUCAAUUUUGUGAGCUUUUGAUCGUGAGGUAAAUAAUAUCGAAAAAUUAUAAAAUUUGAUUUCUAGAAGUUUUAAAUACUCUGAAGGAAAUACAUCCGGAAACUCGCGAACUAUAGAAAUAUCCUCGAGUCCCGGCGCCGCCGUAGGCACCUCUACAACCGUCGCCAGAAAAGCGAUGCAUUCUCUGCUCAUUAGCUGUCAAGCCCUCGCCGAAGAUAUCCAAGUGGCAAACAACGUACUCUUGUAGCCUCUGAAUGUGAAAUCUUCCUCGCUUGACUCGCGAAACGUCACAGCCCUCGCUCCACAGUCGAUCGUAGCAUAGUACCGCGUCAGCCAACCCAUGCCAAGCACAAAGUCAAAGUCCUGCAGCUGCCCUAAAACCAACAGGUCUGCGGGCAUGAUCCAAGAAUCUAACUGUACCGGACACGACCAACAACACUCGGCUACCUGCAAGACAUGGUCGGAAAUCUGCGCCUCUCGUGUAUGCAAUAACGGCCCUAUCUCUAGACCAUGCAACAAUACAAAUGCUCGGCUAACAAAAGAAUGUGAUGCACCGGUAUCAAAAAAAGUACGAGCCCUAAUACCGGAAAUCAAAAUGAUACUUGCCACCGUCCGAUCGGCUACAGUAGAGUCCUCCACCUGGGCUACAUAUACCCUGCCACUUGAAGCCUNAGAAUGUGAUGCACCGGUAUCAAAAAAAGUACGAGCCCUAAUACCGGAAAUCAAAAUGAUACUUGCCACCGUCCGAUCGGCUACAGUAGAGUCCUCCACCUGGGCUACAUAUACCCUGCCACUCGGAGCCUACUGUCGCCGCUCACCCAUCCGCAGCAUAGAUGUCCUGUCCUCCUGGCGGUAACUCGGUGCUGCCCCAAAAGAUGGCUGAGAUACUGGUGAUGCUGACGCUGUCGAGGGUGCUGAUGAUGCUACUCGGGAACACGCUGCCCUCAUAUGUCCCGACUGUCCACAAGUAAAACAGCGGCCCUCCUUCUGCUCGCACUGUUGGGGCCAGUGUAGUCCCCCACAAAUCACGCACAGUGGAGUCCCCCAAGACUGCCCCUGCUGACGAGCUCAUCUGGAACGCUGACGGUUCGAAGACCCACGACCCUGAGAGCGUGAUCGUGGAGGUCUGGGCGGAUGCCUGCUGCUCGACUAUCCACCAUCAUCUGGAACCGGGUGCUUCCUAUCCUGACUCUGCCCCGGCACUUGGAUCCGCUCACGGAUCGAUGCAUCAGCUCUCUCCACCCAAAGAGUCUGCUCCAUAGACGCGUCCAAGGUCCUCAACCUCUGCGCCUGUACAAACCUGAAAAGCUCUAGUCUCAAGCCUCGAUCAAACAAAUACACCCUGUGUGCCUUGUCUCUGGCUACAAAUGGAACAUAGUUCAGUAGUCGAGUAAACUCGCGGAUGUACUCCUGAACUGAUCGAUCCCCCUGGUGGAUCUUCUUUAGAUCUUCCUCGAGCUUUUGUUUCACACUGUUUGGAAAAUACAUUCCGUACAGCAUUCCACAAAACUCAUCCCAACUCAUCUGUAACGCCACCAAUCCCUGGUUUUGCCUUAUCCUCUUCUACCAAGCAUGUGCAUCGCCGGCCAAGCAGUGAACUCCCAAGUGUACCUGCUCCCGCUCAGGAAUAAACAAGCCCUCAAACAGUUUCUCCAUCGCGCUGACCCAGCCUUCUACAACCCAGGGUUCCGUGCAGCUGCCGUCAUAGGUCGGCGGAUCGAAACGACGAAAACGAGCCAGCCUCUUUGUCAUCCGCUCCUGCUCAACCUCUGACAUCCGUAGUACCCCUCCAGAAGAUACAACCGGUGCCGUAGGAACUGUCGCUGGCAGGUGUACUGCUGUGGUUGGUGCGGCCACUGGAGUAGUCGGUGGUGGUGCUGACUGCUCUGGUGCCCUCGGUACUGCGCUUGGCGGCGGAGCGAACGCCUCGCACAUCCUCUGUAACAACGCCCCCUGCUGCCUCGUCACCUCAGUCAGGGCAGCCAACUGCUCCCGUAAAUUAGGAAGUGCGCUCGCUUCUGGUCGUGCACUCGGCUCUGCCCGCUCAGGCAUCUCAGAUGGUGCAGAACGGUCCCGCGUCGACGGUUGACCUCGGCGUCGAUAUAUAGCUGCCAAGAAAAGAAAUAUGGGUCAGAUACAAAAACACAAACACUCUCGACCCAAUCAAGCGAAAGUUUAAAAAGCAGUCCCUGUUUCUCCUUAAAAUUAUGUCGUCUGCAACAGACAUAAUUUUUCCUGGCCGAAACAGACGCUCCUUCAAUCACUCAUUCCACUCUAGGAGUUAGAACUAAUCAAUCGCUGACUUCCGCGAUAAAUCACGCCUCUCGCGCUUUUCAUCCUAAGGUUUGCCAAGCUUAAGGUUUCCUAGAUCCCAAUGACCUAAUACUAAGCUCUGAUAGUAACUUAAUCUGUCACGCACCGGAUUACUCGUUACUCCGGGCACACUAACAGACCCGCCGUACACAUAGAAAUUUUUUCAUGUAUAUGAAGCGAUAGUUGUACCUGUACCUGUAAUCAUACAACACUACAACCAAUAGUAUAGAGCUGCUAAAAACAAAAGCAUAGAUAAAUAACAUCGGUUCAAAUACAUACAUAGUAUCCUGAUACAAAAAUCACUCGCACGAGCGAGGAACUAACAUCAGUAUGUAAAGGAACCAAAAACUACAACAACCUGUAGCUGGUAAAUAACUCUAGAUCAGCAGCAACUGGGAAGGGGUCUAGCUCGCAACUCCCUUUCCCCGGUCUGUAUCCACGACAGCGGCAGUAGAAGGCAAGGCUCUGCAAAAAGAGUCACCAACUGGGUGUGAGAACUACUUCAAAAAGAAGUAGUCCUCAGUGGGUACCGCUACCAACCUCAACGGCUCACCCACUAAGUCUACAGAUGUAAGUAAGGCUAGAAAAGAGAGCUGGAAUAAAUCUAAAGCUAUAUGCCCCUAUACUUUCAAGAUCCAAUACUAACUAUCUGUAGAAAAUACAAAUCCUGACCCAAUCUUACUAGGGACUGUGAACACACCCGUCCCGCUUGUCAAAGCUACACUAACUGUCACCACACUAGGUCGUCAGUGGAGAACACGUCCAAACAGGACAAAGCGACGUCAACGCAAAAGCACUAAGCCCGACUCCGGAGUGGCACUCGUGGGCGCUAUCCAACCGAGUAUGCUAGCGUAUCUCUGCCGAGCUCAAUCAGGCUCUCACAGGCUAUAGUCAAGCAAACAGGGUCUAAUAACCAAACUCACGCGCCCUCGGCACAAUCUAAUGCAAACACAACAAUCUGGGUCCACCGUCAACCUCAACGACACCUGACAAUCCUGAACAGCCUAAACACUGCUGUAAAAAUAAGCUCGGCAUCCCAGCACGAGUGUAAAUAUAUUCUACACUAUCAUGGGUAUCCACUGCUCACAAACUGCGGCAAUAUAAACAAACUAUAGCUCCUAGAGCUAAAUCUUGUAAUUUCUGAAAAUGACGGUGUAGAAUCGAUAGUUUUCUCCUAAGUCAAUUCCAAGUCCAACAUAUAUAAUUAAACUAGCAUUCUAAGCUCCAAUUCAGAUUUCAAUUAAGGAUAAUGCAAAUCUACGAAUCGAGCAAUGAAAUAUGAUAUAUAAAAAUCUACUAAUACAUGCUGUCAAUAGAACUUAGGAGGAAAUCCGAAAAUUCCGAUAAGCAUCAUUAACCCACCUCGACUCGAGCUCAAUCAUAGCAAGCAAUCGCUGAAGAACCCUGUCGAGACCAGCCACCAAACAACAACCAGCAAUCACCUUCCACAAGGAUCAAAACACAAGAACACUAAAAUUCUAUCAAUACUCUAAAUUUUCAGCACUUAAGCUAAAUUUCACAUUAAUUUCAAUGUCAAACUCACCUUCUAAUGCUCACAUCCAAUGAAGGGAGGUCUCAAAACCAGUGGAGAGUGAUGGAAUAAUAAGCUCAGAUCGAAAAUCCAGCUCCUUUCAUGAAUUGACCCAAGAAAACCAACAAAAUCCAAAAUUCAGGUCCAAAACAGCAUCAGCUCAGUAAAAUAGCAAAUUGACCAUACAAACCUUAAUCAAAUGCUGUCCAAAAUAGCUCCACGGAAUCUCCAAGAAGUCUAAAAACCACCAAACCAAGUUUCGUGGCAAUCCGACCUUCCUACGUCGCACACGAGCCAAAACGCCGAAAGUCGUUGUUGGAAAACUGCUAGAACUGCAAUCCUCAAGGUGGAAUUGUGGAAUUUGGAGAGUUUGGAGGGCUAAAAUGCAAAAUCUGAGUUUCACUAUGAAGAAAGAGUGAAAAUGAUUCUCAGGGGGUCGAACUCCAGUUUUUAUAGGGAGAAGAAAGGGUGAGAUAAGCCCCAAGAACAGAAAAACUAACCUGUUGUUCCUGCAGAAGCGGCCACUUUCGGGCGUCCGAAAUCAUGUUCUGGGUGUCCGAAACUCCCAGCCUAUACAAAAGCUCCACUUUGGUUUCUCCGCUCGCGGUAAGAUGCGCCCGAAACCUGGUCCGGCGGAACUCACCUACUACCACAAACAUAUCAGCACAAUCGAUAUUCCCAAUGCAACUUUCGGACCCACAUCAGGGCGCCCAGAACAUAGGAUCCGAAUUGGCUUCCAGUUUCAGUUUAAUAUAGUUCAAUUCAACACUCAAGAUCUGGACGAUCCAAACCUGAUUCUGGGCGCCCGAAUAUGGCAAAACUUCAGUUUUGCUUAUUUGAGUGCGCCGAGUCCGUUUUUGCAUUCAUUUUGAGCAAAAACAACUCCGAUUCAAUCCGACACUCUCCAGAAGUGCCGACUAAUCACUAAAACUGGAACCAAUCCGAUACCAAGCCUCCGGGACACUACAUGUACAGUUGAGAUGAUGGUAGUAGGUUGUGUUAGGUGAAAUAGUGUUUGAUCCAAAGGCCAUUAGUAAUUAAGGAGUAGAUCUAAGAGGUAGAAACUCUAAAGCACUAAGGGGUUGUUGCUUUUGAAAAUAUUCUAGUUCAAUUAUAUAUAUAUAUAUAUAUAUCAAACAGUUGUUAUUCUUUUGGUUUUUGCAAUAAGACAAAGUUCAAGCAGAGCUCUAGCAAUUCUAGUGAUAGUCAUGAGCAAGAGAACAUUCCUAGUGGAGAAACUUAAGAAAACUAAUGGUUUUUUUUUAAAAAAAAAAAAAAAAACUCAAUGGAAACGUACAAUCAUGAAGUAAAAAUGCACGGAACUUUCCUCAAUAAUUACCUAUUUUCAUCUGAUGAUCUGUAAUUUUUAGAUUUUUUGUUUUUUGUUACGUAACAUUUUAAUUUAUUUAAUUUGAGCUAGUUAAUGAUUCUUUACUAUCAAAAUUUGAAUUUACGCACAUAGGUAGCAUAUUCUAUACAAUUCAUGCAACUAUAAAUUCAUUAAGAGAGCCGUCAAAUAAUUUAAAUCAAACAAAUUGAGAUGUUGGGUACUAAAAUCAAAGCUUCAAAAUAUUGAAUAGUCGAAUCAAAAUGACCCAUGAUUUAGACAAGUUUGUUUCGUACAUUUUGACCAAUCCAACAAUUACUUUUGAAAUCCUUCGCUAGUCAUGCUACCUCCAAAUUUGAGAACGCAAAAUCGGGAAAAAAAAAGAGCUGAUCAUCAAAACACUGACGUGAAGAAUAUCUCUGUAAUUAGAUUAUUGUAUCCAAACACACAGGAGGGAGGAGUGAUUCCUUCGUGCAACAAUUAAACAAAAUCACCAGGUUUUAGAGGCAUCGACUUGAAAGAGUAAUUACUAAUUAGCAUACUAAGCACCUUAGAAGGUAAAACCAUAAUAAUAAAGUAACACCAACUAGUGCACAGUAGUAUCAUAAAAUAGCCAAAGACCAUGGUGAAGCAUCAAGAAUCAUUGAUCAAUUACGGCAUGCAACUACCAAUAUAAAUCCAUUUAAAUACUAGCAUCAUCAUUCUGCAUGAAACAGAACUUCGUUUCAAUUUGUGGUGUUACAUUUUGCAUGAUGUAGUUAUUAAAUACAGAGUUAGUUUAAUUAGAACUUAUUCAUGAGGUUUAUUGCGAUUAAACUAGCAGCUAAGCAGAAUCAGAGAUUAAAACUGAGGAUUUGAAGUUAAUUAUUUGUGCAUCGUCACAACUUAUCCAAAAGACCAAAAUGACUUAAGUGAAGCAACAAAUCCAGAUGCUAAGUGACUCAACAGUAAACAUUCUUUAUUUAUCUCAACUUCUGAGGAACUACAAAGAAUUGAAGGGCUGCAUUAUCCGAAAUGAGAUCUUCAAAGCAACAAAAAAAAGAAGAAAAAUAAUAACCGAAAGAAACAAACAAAAAAAAUUAAACACCACUCCAUCUCCGACCAAGUCGCAAGGAGAGCAAUUCAUCGUCACCAUCUCUCCUCUCCGAUUCGGGCUGCGGCGCGCUCUCAGGCUCCUCUGGCUUUGCCAGCUCAUACUCGGCGCCCCAACUCAUGUUCAGCUCGUUGACACCCAUAAUAUUGACUAGGUAUUUACAUAAAUAUACACCAUAUGUAAAAUAUGAUCUUAAUUAUACAACUAACUUAAAAUGUCAAACAACUUAAAUGACCUUCAUAGUUGGGCAAAAAUUGUAUGGACACAGUGUCCAAAUUAACAUUUUUGAGUGUGCUCUCGAUCGGCGCCACGUGGCUCGCAGGCUCUCAUCUUACCGUCUUUUUUUGUUCUUAAAAAAAUGUGAUUUUUUUUUAGAGAGAGAAAGAAGUAGAUGAAGGAAAAUGAAUGAUGGGAUGGGCGCCUGCGAGCUACAUGGCGCCCAUCCGGAGCAUCCCCAAAAAUACUAAUUUGGACACUAUGUUCAUACAAUUUUUGCCCUUCAGUAGUUAGGUUCAUUCUUUCCUUGUGUCAUACAAGAUACAAAUGACAUUUGUUAUUGAUUCACCUUUUCCUUGUGAGAUGGUAAAAUAAUUACAAAAUAUAAUGCUCGAUGCAUUUAUAUGCCACACGAUUUACAAUAAUUUGUCCUAAACAUUAUAGGAGAUUAGAGUUAUGUUAUAUUAUAUUUUACUAUUUGUGAUAUUGGAGGAUUAACCAAUGACCAAAAAUUUUAUAUUUGUUAAAAUUUUACUGCACAAUAUUCUUUACUUCUAUAGGUGGGGAUAUCAAAAAAAUUUAUAAAAAAUAAUAUAAAUAUUAAUAAAAAUACUAUAGGCAGUGAAAUUUUUUUAUCAUUCGAGUAUUGAAAUAAAAAUUAUAGUUUUUCAUCUGUUAUUUAAAAUAUUUAACACAUAUCUACUAAUUAUAACAUUUUGCAGAUACAGCACCUAUGCUUCUCCUUUGCUGCUGCUGCCGUCUCAUCUCCGGCAACAGCGCCAAAGGACAAAGCGGCGGAUGACGAGGGUUCACCCGCGCCGCUGCCGUCUUGAAGGCGUUGUUGCACAUACAGCACCUGUGCUUCUCCUCUGCCGCCGCUGCAAUCUCAUCUCCGGCGACAGCGAUAGAGGACAAAGCGACGGAUGACGAGGGUUUACCCGUGCCGCUGCUCACUACAACAAAUAAGGUUUGUUCUAGCAGUUUUUUAGCCACCAGUUAUGCUAACUGUUGCUAAAACUAUAUUAUACCAGCAUUUUUUUAUUAUUUCUGUAACAUUUACUAAACCGUUGGUAUAGAAGUAAUAAUUUUUAAUGUAUAAACAAUGUUGGGCCUUUUUUUAUUAGCUUAUUUAAUCAAUUGGGCCAAUAAUUGGGCCACAUUGGAUUUGAAAAGCCUUGCAACUAAAAUGCACCACGUGUCCAUCUCUAAGCUCUCCACCAUCUCUGAGCUCUCCAUCUCCCACCACGAGCUCGAUCUCCACCACGAGCUCUCCAUCUCUGAGCUCGCUCGCUCGCGUCGACCUCGUCGCUCUCUACUAUCAUCGCCUCCUCCUCCACCUCCCUCUAAUGGCGCCACUCCCUCAAGCUCCAAACCCUAGCUCCACAAGUCUCCUCCUUCCUCCUCCAUCGUAGGCGCGUCCAAUCCUUUUCCUUCUCUGCUUCUCAGGAAGGAGUGCCCUAACACCGAGUGUGGGACGGGGACGUUCAUGGCCAACCCAUAAUUUCUAUUGCUCGUGCCCUAACAUUGAGUGCGCUCGAUCGCCAUUACUGUGGCAAGUGUGGGCUCACCUGCGUCUACCAGAACAAAGGUGAGUGAAUCAUUACUUUUUGAUAGACAAUUCGUAGGGGGUUUUGAAUUUGAGAUCUGUUUUUGGUUAAUGUUUUUCUUGUUCGAUUACUCGAAACUUAAUUGUUUAAUUGCUAUUAAUAGUAGAUAAAUUGUUUAAUUGUUUAGUUGCUAUUAUCCGGCAAUUGGCUCUAAUAGAAUUUGUAAUUUGUUUUGCAUAGAACACCCUCACAGGGAAUGUGCACAAAUAAUAGAGAUUUCCAUAGGCACUUUGUGGGAGUAAUUGCAUAAUUUCACAUAUUUGCAAAGAUGUAUAUUUGCAAAAAUUUUCAAAGUAAUGUAGGAUACAACAUAUGUACAUACAUAGCUAAAGCUUUUUGGUUCCAAGUCAACUUCCUAUAAUACACUAUUGGCUAAAGAAACUAUUCAAAACGCUAAGAAGAAAGUGUCAAAAUUGUUGUUUAUUCAGAUCCUAGUGUUUUUAUUUGCCUUACCUUGAAAUUUGAUGGUUCAUUGCAAACUGGAAGUUGCAGUGAAAUAGAGACAUUAUCAAGAUGAAAUGUAUUUGCACACUAUCAGUUAUUUAUUGAUCCAAUGAAGAAAGUUCACACUUGAAACCGGAAGGGCCAUUUUUCUCCCGGUAUUUUGAAUAGCACUUGCAAAUAGGGAGAUGCGUUCAUACUUUUUUUAGUAGAUAAUAGGCGGAGGAUUGCGUUUGGGUAUUUGGUUGCAAUGUUGCAUCAAAAGAAAGACGCUCUUCAUUGGUUGGCAUGAAUUGUAUGGAUAUUGAGAGCAGGCCCGGAGUGUUUGCUGUAUUUGAUUCGGCUUGUUGAACACUCAGAUUAGCUCGAGUUGGUUUUUGACCCGAACUUCCUAACCCUACUCUGAAUUAUGAUAUGGUUAAGUUAGAAAUUCAUCAGAAGGUAGAGCUUGUAAUGAGUCUUUUGUACUAAUCUUUUAUCCGCCUUCUUCUAAGUAUGGUGGUUCUUGGGGAGUAGUUACCGUUAGUAGUCAACAGUACACUAGUUUAAUAAGAAAAUUAUUGACCGAAACAUGCAAGUAGACUGCCCAUCAUCUCACUAUGCCUUUUCAUUUGCUAGUAGACUCAUGAUAAACCUUCCAUAUGAUUCUUUGGCGUAUUUCUUUCUUUUCUGCAACUGUGCUAUUGUCACAUGUAUCUAGAGUUUGAUAGAACUACAAUAGGAAACACAUUUAAAAUGCCAUUCUCCUCGAUUGUUGGUGUGUACUAAAUCUUAAUUUGUUUAAAUCAUCAGGCACUCCUAAUGUGAAUCAUUUGCUGAAGCUUUUUUGAUAGCUAGGACUUGUAUUUAUAUAAAUGGCUAUCGGUAAUAGUAAUUCGGGAAACAGGGCUCUGUAUUUUUAGGGGUCCAUGUGAUUGCCAAAGGCCAUGCCUGUAGAAUUUGCUGAAAUGUACAAUUAUAUUGCAGAUGCUUAUGGUUAUGCUGUUCUUUUGCAACAAUUUAUGCGAACUACAUGUGGCACUUGUGACAGUCAGCAUGCAUGUUUUUACUUUAUUUGCUCUGAAGAGAGUUCAGUGACAUGUGAAAAUUUCAUAGAUCUACUUUAUUUGGUACUGUUUUUACUUUAUUUGCCCACAAAUGCAUGCUCCAAACCAUAUCCCACCAAUUCAAUCUGCAUCUCUCCAAAUCCCCAUAAGAAGAUAUAUAAUUAAUAAUUACAUAGAUUGGACUUAAUAAGAUAGUUUAGUUUAUCUUCUAUUAAGUAUUAGAUAUGUUGUUCUAAAUUGAUUUGAUCACCAAGAUCACAUCCUCCAAAUAUGUAGUCUAGAAAUUAACAUUACCUUGUUACACCUUAUCCCAGAGCGGAUUUUACAAAUUGAGAGUUUGAGAUCUCUCGUCUUCGUGAAUUUGAAGCACGUCUCGAAACUUCUUUUUGAUAUUGUCCUGUCCAACCGACCGUCCCUAGAGCAAGUGGUAAAGGACUUGGUGGUUGGUACUCGAGACCCAAGUUCAAAUCCUAGUUGAUUCACAUUUCUAGCUAAGUUUAUUUCUAAAUGAAAUAAACGAAACGAGUAGCGUGCUACCUAUCUAUCUCUCAAAAAAAGAAAAAAAAGAAAGAAAAAAAAGAAGAAGAUAUUGUCCUGCCCAUUUUGUCACUAGCUUUGUAUUUAAUGUAAAUAGAAGAUCAUCAGUAAAAUUUUUCUAUGAUGUAGAGCCGACGAUUUUCUUAGGAGAAAAAAAAAGAAUAAACAAUCCAAUAUAUAAUAUAGAAAAUAUUGGAAAACAAAUGAGUAUCUUGCUAAUCAAAAUUUAGUCACAUAAUUUAGAGCGUAUUAAACUAGUACGUUUACUUAAUUUCUUCUCGAGAUUCUUUUGUAUUAAUUGGGCCCUACCCACGUGACAAGUCCCCUAUAAGGGCCCAUUGUACUAGAAAAGUGGGUUGAGCCCAACACACACACACACACACACACAAAGUGGGUAAAGUUCCUGCAUGUUCAUUUAUACUUUGGAAUGAAUAACUAUCCUAGGAAGAGAUAGUAAAAUUCAGCUUUGGACUGAUUGAUACUUGUUUGCAUUCGAAAGUGCUUGUUAAAUCAGAAUUCAGAUUUAUAUCCCGUAACCUUGUUUGUAUUCGAAAGUGCAGCAUCUAUUUCCUCAUUUUAUCUUGUAGUUAUGAAAAAAAUGGAAUCAUUUUGUUUUAUAAAUAAUUGCUUGUCACUUCUGAAAUAACUGAUAAAGAAAUAAUAAUACGUACAGGACAUGCCAUAGAAAUUAAUUAAUGGAUUGAAAAGAAAUAAUAAUGGGGUGAUAGGGAAAUAUUGAUGCUUAAUUAAUUUGUGUGCCCCCAAAAUGUAAGUGCUUUAGUACAUUUUGAUCGAUCAUAUAUAACACUAUUUUUUUUUUGUUUUUUUGGUACCUAUAUGGGCAAUGUUUUAGUACAUACUUUGUGAUUUUUGAGAGUUUUGAUUGAUUGAUUGAUUCGCACAUUUCAAGUGUUUCAUUAGUGCGGUGCAUGCAUUUAGAGUUGCAUUGCAGCUCUAGAUCUAAUUGCGUCGCGUGCUAGUUGUGUACUAUUUGAUAGAUUGUACAGUGAAGCCAUUUAUUUAUAUAUUAUUACUUCUGGUUUAGGGAGUUUUUAACUAAUUGGUACACAUACUUUUGAGUAUUUAUUUUGUGUGGCGCAUUUGGAGUUGCAUUAAUUUUAACUCUAGCUGUUGAUAGAUUAUAACUAAUUAAGUCCAUCACUAUAGUUGCGGCUGCAACAAAACUCAGUGUAAUACAUGAUCUUAAAAAUUUGAGGUAAAUGUGAAGAUUUAUUUGUAUCGGUAAUUGUUCUUAUCUAUCCAUUUAUUUGAUUUUAGGAUCAGUCUGUUUUAUUCAGUUAGGUUCCGGAAUUUUUUUAUAGUAGUAAGUUUGUUGAGUAGAAAGUACUUUAAUAGAUGAAAUUCAAUUUUCGAUACUUUUAUUUUUUGCUAUAUGCUACUUAUGAUAGAUUUCUUGUUGGAAUAAGCUUAUGCAUCUCAUAUGUUUUAAUUUUUUUUGUUUCAGAUUGAAGCAAUAAGCAUGAUUUGAUGUUCGCAUUUGAAGAAUGCUUAGCUGGAGCUUUUCACUUUCCUUUUUCUUAACUUUCGAAUAUUUGGGAUUCAAAUAAAUUUUCUAUUGCAUUGAUUUCUAUUAGAAUGUAAAAAUUUGUUUUGUUUGCAUUUUAUCACUGCUCUAGAUCAUUGCUUAUUGUUUUGUUUCAAGAAUGAUUGUAUCAUCUUAUUGCAAUUUAGUAAUAUGACUCUUAUUUUUUUUACGGAUAUUAUAGAUUGUUGGUUUUACAAUUAAUAUCAAAUAAAAAAGCCCUAUUAUAAUUUGUUGAUAUUAGUAUUUUUUUUUUCAUAUUAGUUUCAAAUUGCCAACGGUCAAAUACUGUCGGUACAUGUGUUUUACGCCAGUGUUUUUUUUUGUAGUUUUAACGACGGUUUAAGAACUGUUGCUAGAGAUCAUUUUCACCAGUGGUUAGUAAAAGUGCUGGGAAAAGGCUAUACCAGCAAGGAUAUUGUAACGGUCAUCUACAUUUUUACCAGCAGUUUUAGAACUGCUGGAGCAAAUAUUACUAGCAGUUUUUGUAUUCUUUUUCAGCAGUUUUGAUUGCUGGUAUAUAUAUACCUAUUUUUUUGUAGUGCGCGCUGCUGCUCCGAACAUUGGAAGUCUCUCUCCGUUGGGUUUCUCCUCUCCUCUUCAACUAUGUCUCGACUAUGUAGGAAUCACGAGUGUGUGAGAUUGCGAGAGUGACAGCACGUUAGUGUAACUGAAGUUUAGGAGUGUGGGAACGAAGAAAGAAAAAGAAAGAUUUUAUAAUAUAUAUAGUUGCAUAUAAUUCCAAUCUUAAUCAAAUAAAUGAAAUUCUAUCUAAAUUGCAAUCCUAAUUGUUCUAGGAAUCGAGAAUUAAACUGCUCUCAAUUUCAAAUCCGCAAAUUCGCGUCCGCCUAUCCUCCGGGAUUAGGAUUAGGAUUAGGAUUAGGAUUUCACUCCGCGACUCGGAUCGUUCUGCGCCAUUGCUCGUCUUCUUCCUCUAUCCAUCUCCUGCUUGUGAUCCUCCUCCACCGACGCUUCCUAGGGUUAACGCUUCCUAGGGUUAGGGUUAGAAUUAGGGUUUGGAUCGGGGAUUUGGUCGCCAUUAACGUCGCUAGCUCUGGUUUGGGGUGUUUGUGAGGAAGAGACGAGGCUUUUUCGUAGGGCGAGAGCGAAGCUUUUCUCGCUACAGAACCGUCGAGCUAGAAACUAUUUCAUGCACCUGGUGCAUGAUGCACCACAGCUUUAGGUUUUUUUUUUUUUUGUGAAAAAGCAUCGUCAUUACUUUAUUCUCCGUGUAUGAUAUGAUCCGAAAGAAAUAAACUGCUUAGACCUAUUUUUACAAAUAAAAAUAUUAAAUACUCACUCUUUAAAAUUAAAAAAUUCUAUAAGCCUAGUCGUCUAAAACUCCCAUCUAAAAUUGGUUUCCAAAAUUGGACUGCGACUGAAUCUUCAUAUCUUAGUUCACAAAUUGGGUGUUUGGUCUGCAUUUCGAAAAGUGAUUUUGGACUCUAAAAUAAUUUUCGGCUUAAUAGAACGUUAGGCAGUCUCGUUUCCAAAAUUUGAUUCUAAUUUUUAAAAUCAAUUUGAUGGAAAAGUGAAGGAGGUUAGUUUUGUAAUCCUCUACGAAAUAUAAUAAUUAUUGGUUAAUUUUUGCAGCGACUAUUUAUACUUUGUGAUAUUGUGAUGGUGAUUUAGAUUUGGUCGUAAGCGGAAGUACCUACAAAUUAUGUUGUUUUCAUGAACACAUAGCUGUAACUUCUUUUUGGGACCUCGUUGCAGCUUCUGUGAGAAGAGCUUAUGCUAUUUUAUUGAAGAAGCAUUUGAAGAAGCAUUGGCCUUUUUUUUUGGAUUUACUUCAUACAGAUUCUUAUAAAAAUAUCAAAUAAUAGAUAAAUUCCUACAAAACUUAAAUGAUCAGAUUUAUCCCAUUGAAAAUUUUGUGAUUUGUAAAUAUAUUCUUUUAAAAGGAAUGGUUCCUUCAUAUAUGUUCCUGUCGUGUGAUUCACCGUUAGUUUUUAAACGGUGGAUCAUAUAUGUAGCUUUUCUCACUACCGAACCGUGAACUAGAAAUUAUUGCAUGCACCUGGUGCAUGAUGCACCACAGUUUUAGCUUUUUUUUUUUUUUCUUUUUUUUGGAAAAGCAUCUUCAUGCUUAGACCUAUUUUUACAAAUAAAAAUAUCAAAUACUUACUCUUAAAAUUAAAAAAUUCUAUAAGCCUAGUCGUCUAAAACUCCCAUCCCAAAUUGGUUUCCAAAAUUGGACCGGGACUAGAUCUUCAUAUCUUAAUUCACAGAUUGGGUGUUUGGUCUGGCUUUCGAAAAGUAAUUUGGGAAUGAAAAGUGAUUUUCGGUUCAAUAGAGUGUUAGGUAGUCUCGUUUUCAAAAUUUAAUUCUGAUUUUUAAAAUCAAAUUUCUAAUAUUCGAGGUUCAAAAUAAAAAAGCUAAAACCUACUUCUUGAGAUCCGAUUCUGAUUUUAGAGCUAAAAUUCAAAUUUUUAUUUUGAUUUAGUCUCAAAUUUUUAAUUUUUAAUUGAAAUUCAAAUUUUAAUUUAAAAAAUUUUAAAUUUAUUCUUAAAACUUUAAAUUUCAAACUAUAAAUUUAAUAUCAAAAUUUAUAUAUUAAAUUUAAAAUUUAAAAUGAUAAGUUUUGGUUUUUUAACUACUAAUUUCAAAUUUUGAAAAUUUAAAUUUUAAAUUGUUAGUUUUAAAUUUUUAUUGUUCAAAUUUUAAAUUUCAAAUUUCAAAAUUUCAAAUAUUAAAUUUCAAUUUUCAAAUUUCAAAUUUUAAAUUUCAAUUUUAAAUUAAAAUAUCAAAAUUUAAAUUUUUGUGCAAAUCUCAAAUUUAAUAUUUAAAAUUUUAAUUCAAAUUUCAAAUUUUUUAAAAGGAAUUUAGUAAAAAAUUAUUAUUAUAUGCCAACAUCAAAAAGAUUUGGGCAAACUUCAAAUACCCUUUGUGGUUUCACACUUUCUUACUUUAGUAUCUUGUGGUUUAAAGUGUAUUAAGUUAGCCUCUGUGGUUUCACACUUCCUCAUUUUAGUACCUUGUGGUUUAAAGUGUAUCAAGUUAAUACCCUGUGAUUUUAUUUUUCUCUUUUUAUUAUCCAUUUCACUAAUUCUUUUGUUAAAUCAGUGAUAAAGUAAAAUUAAAGGAUAAUAAAGUGAAUAUUCGAUAAAUCUAGAUAGAGUAUAUGAAGUUUUUUUGUAUAUAAUUUAAUGAAAUAUUAAUGGAGAAAAAAAAAAUCAGCGACAAAGUUAAAACUAAAUGGUAUUAAAAUAAAUAUUCGAUAAAGCUAGAUAUGAUAUUUGAAAUUUUUUGUAAUAAUUUAACGAAAUAUUAACAGAGGAGCCGACGAAAAGAGAAAAAUAAAACCACAGGGCACUAAAUUGAUGCACUUUAUACCACAGGGUACUAAAAUAAGAAAGUGUGAAACCACAUGGUACUAAAUUAAUACACUUUAAAUCAUAGGGUACUAAAGUGAAAAAGUACGAAACCAUAGGGGUGGUAUUUAAAGUUUUUCCAAAAGAUUUUGCCGAACAUGUUUACAGAUCCCUUCAGAAAAAAUCACUUUUCAUCUAAAUUAGUCAAAUGCUCGACAGCUUUUAUUCAAAAUUGAUUCUCCAAACCAAAAUCAAUUCUACAGAAAUUAUUUUUUCAAAAUCUAAACCAAACGGCCAGAGGACAUAACAUACUUGUUUUCAAACCCAUUUUAGCUCUCUUUUUAGUAAAAAAAAAAAAAAAGAGUGGGGAUUUUCUAUCAACUCAAAUUCAAAAUAAAUGAUCACUUAGAAAGUUGUUGCUUCAGCUUACGCCAUACCAAUUUUUCAUAUUCCAUUUUAUUUCUCAUCAAAAGUUACACACAGAAUAGUAAAUGUAACUCGAGUAAUAACACCACCCUAAAAAAAAAAAAAAAGGAAAAUUCCCAAAAAGAAAGAAUUAACACUCUUUCAUCGACCGUCCCGAAAGCAAGUGACAAAGGGCUUAGUAGUUGGUAUCCGAAACCAAGUUCGAAUCCUAGUUGAUUCACAUUUCCAGCUAAGUUUAUUUCUAAAUAAAACAAAUAAAACGGAUAGCGUGCUACUUAUCUCUCAAAUUUUUAUAAAAGUUAAAAAAAGUAUAAAAAAUAUAAAGAAUAAAAAAAUAUAAAAAGAAUAAAAAUAUAAAAAAAAAAAAAAAAAACACUCUUUCAACCAUCAACCUAGCAUCAAAAACACUUUCAGAAUCAGAGUAAAUUAUUAUUAUGUCAAAAUCUGAUUCAAGAGAGGAGCAAAUUCUUCGGCAAAACUACACAGCACCAUCGUGCAUGAAAAGUCUAGAUUCAGAAGCUUACAAUAUAACAGCACACUGCUUCAUUCUCAAGGAUUGUAAUGUUACAGAAGAUACACACAUACGUCGUGCCUUCACGAUGCCAAAUUCUGUUAGUAUUUUGAUUAAAACAAGUGAUUUAAAACUUCUUAAAAAGUCCAUAUGUAUUAAAACUUAAAUUUGAUCUUUGGACUUUGUGGGCAGCCCACUGUCAAUGGGCCUUGCCUGGGAGCCCAAGUUUUGGUCUCUUUUCAUGUGGUGUUUAGUCCCACAUUGGAAAGAGACCCUCACUUGCUUUGGUUUAUAUACUUCUUUAUUCUCAUUGUUAUUACUUGGGAAGUGAUGAGAGUGGAGCUCUCGUCUAAAUUCACGCACGGGCCGGGCGGCGGCGCGCGUGAACCCGAUUCACUUUAUUUUUGUUACACUUUUCAUUUUAUUAUUUUAUUUUUGAUUUGGUCCAGUCAAAGGGUCGCACCUCGGGACUCAACCAGCCCCAACGGUCUACCUCGGGAAGAUGGUCUUCCCGUUGGAACCCUUCUUUUGCUCUCCUUUUUACUAGGGUGAGUGGCUGGGCUAGAAUAGUAGUGACAUACAGAAACCCUAACCUGAGCUUCCCCCCUUUCUCUCUUCUCCUUCUUCUUCUUCACUAUUUUGCUGGAUCUCUGAAAAGCUGUGACGGUUCGUUCUUGCGCCACCCUGAAGCCGUGCCGACGGGGUGGACGGAGGUCGUUGUAUCGCUAGGAGUGAUUGCCGGCGCCUCGUACGUGGAGGGGCAAUCUUGCUUCUAGGACAGUGCAAUCGCACGCCUCGACUCACAGGCUCCAUCUAAUCCUUUAUUCUCUAUAGUUUUUAUUUAUUUCGUUCUUAAUCAACGUUUCUAAAAACAGUGGAUAAGUUGUUUUCAAACAAAACUGUUUAUACAAAUAUUUGACUAAAGAUUUCGAAAGAGAACUAGUUUUUCCAACAAAUUCUUCUUCUAAUCUGCGGCGAAGAGCAUAUCGCAACCGUCGUAAUAAUAAUGAUACAAAAAGAGCGCGCCUCUCGCUUCUUUCAUCUUACAACAACAUAUAUGAUCCUCUACAAGAGGGUCGUCAGGGUGCGCCAUCUUGAGGACAAGAGGGUCGUCGGGGUUGGGGUCGGUGAGGAGGGAGCAGAUGGAGAGAAGGACCUUCGAGAUGGUCAGCGCAGGGCUCCACUGCUCCUUGAGGAUGUCGACGCAAAUGCUGCCGUUCGAGUUGAUGUUCAGAUGUGAGUACUCUAAAAGCUUAAACUAUUAGAGAAUGGUGUUUAAACAUUUUUAUACUCUCGAGACUUUUUAAUCGGCCCAUGACAUGGACUUGAAUUAAAUGUGAGGAAAUUAAUAUGCUAGGAGCCCGGCGUGAUUCGAACUCAGGACCUCCUUUUCUGAUACCAUGUGAAACAACUAUUGUAUUCUAAAAAUUUAAGCUGUUAGAGAACGGUGUUUAAAUUUUUUUAUAUUUAACAGGAUGGUACACCUAACAUGAUUUAGUGCAUAACCAUAUUACUACUACAUUGACGGCCGGAGCCUGAGAUAUCCGCCUUUUGCCGCAAGCGAUGGGAGAGCUCCAGAGUGUGGGUGCAGGGAUGGGAACAGGCAUGCAUGAAUUUAUCUAAUUAUAAAAAAUUCCACCUCAUCAUAAUUCAAAAUAAUUUUAUAUUUGUCUGAUAUAUAAAAUACUUUAUGUUAUAUUUGAAUAUGUAUUUUAGAAUUUUAUAUUUAAUGUACUAUAUUUUAAAAUAUCGUAUAGAGAAAUAAUUAUUUCGGACUCGUAUUCGGAUUUUGAAUUUUUGGUCGGAUUUGAAUUCGGUUAUGAAUUCUGUAUUUGGUAGUCGGAUUUUAAUUCGGAUUUUUAAAAACCCGGCCCAGAAUUUGAUAUGUCGAAAUUCCUAGUUGGGUGUGGGAAUUUAAUUGUGUGUAGGAGUUUUCUAGUUAAGUUCAUAGUUAGUUAAUUCGGAUUCGGCAAAACUUUGGUACCGAUAUAACACGUAUAAAAUUCGUUUUCUAAUUUAUAAAUUCUUUGAAAAAAUUGGCUUAAAAAACGGAUUCGUUAUAAAGCAUAAAAUAUAAGAUAUAAAAUAUAGGAUAAUUUAUAUUUAAAAAUAAAAAUUAUAAGUUUUUUAUUCAUAUUUUUAAUAAUUCGGAAAUAAUUCGCGAAUAAUUCGGCUAGCCCAAAAAUUCGCGAAUAAUUCUCUUUCUUUGGAAAAAAUUCGUAAACGGACUGUUUAAUUCGGAUUUUCAAUAAUUCGCGAAUAAUUUGCGAAUCUACUAAACAGUAAACUAGGAAGUUUAUUUCUUUUUGUAUAUCGUUUCCAACGAUUGGGGUAUAUGAAUUGACGAUCCAAACAUUUUCUAGAAAAAAAUUCCCUAAAUGCUCUUUUGAGAGAUGUAAUUUUAUCAACGCCCCUCCAAAGUUCAGAGUAUCACAGAUACCCUCCUGAAAUAUUCUCAAACGCCCCUAUCAAUAAAACAAUUCUACAAAUUUAAUGGAUUAAUUCUAAAUUUCUAUCACAAAAUGUUCUCCAAUGUCUAUCUAGAAGUAAACCACAGAAUAAUUAAGCAUUACUUUUUGACUAGGAUGACAAAAUAAAAAAAAGUAUUGACGCUCCGAUUGGAUGCGCAGUUAUAAAAUUUUAAGUAGUUUUGUAUACUAUAGUUUUCAUCUAGAUGAAAUAAAAAAAAAAAUCUGUAACUCUGAAAAAUUCCAUGGUUUAAUUUUUAAUCUGUUUGAAUAUAUAUUGUACAAUUCUACUAAACUUCUACCAAUUUAAAAUUGACAUUUUUAAACUUAAAAUCUAGAUUUAAGAUUUAAAUUUUGAAAUUUAUAAUUUACAAGUUAUAAUUUAAAUUUUAAAAUUUUACUUUUUAAAAUUGAAAUUUUAAAAUUGAAAAUUUUAUCUCAAAUUUUAAAAUUUAAAAUUUGACACAACAUGGGGGGAGAGAGCCAAAGAAUGAUGGAAUUUUUUUUUUUUGUUAGGUUAGAGUAAAUUUUUAUUUUACUAAUAUGUAUAUUAUACUUCAAAAAUGAAGUAAAAUAACAAUAUACUCUAACCUUAGGGGAAAAAAUCCAUCAUUCUUAGUCUCUCUCCCCUCAUGUUGUGUCAANACACAACAUGGGGGGAGAGAGCCAAAGAAUGAUGGAAUUUUUUUUUUUUGUUAGGUUAGAGUAAAUUAUUAUUUUACUAAUAUGUAUUCUUUUGGUCCCUCAAACACUUCAUAGGAUAGUUUUCGAUCUGGUAUAAUAUAGUUUAACUACACUAUGGGCAUCCAAAUAGGGCAAAAAUAUGUCUCCUAAUUUUGAUUAUUAGAUUUCUAAAUUUUAUUAAAUAGUUCAAUAAACUCUUUUUCGGGAGCAAACUUUCUAAUUACAUAAUUAUUUUGGCCAGAUAUAGUACACAUAAUCCUAUAAGAUUUUAAAAUAUAAAUAAAUCUAAUUUUUCUCUACUAAGCUUCAUAAUUAAGCAUGCCCAUCGUAUAAUAGGCAAUUUUAUUUUUUUAUAUGUUAGAAUAAACAAAAAAAAAAUUUGGGGGGUUUUUGAAGCUCUAUAAAAUUACACACACAAGACGAAUUUUUUUUUUUUUUUUUGAGUAAACAGGGAUAUACCCAUUUGAGAUUUGUAGAACAAGAAGCAAAUAAGACAGAACCAAGAGAAACGACAACCCCAUUGGCCGAUCAUGGUCCCCUACUCAAAUGAACGAAAGCUAACUAAGCAAAAACAAAACAAAACUAGGCAAAAACACCACACCCCUUUGGCAGAUCAUGAUCCCUGACAUUAAGAGCUCAGCAAAACUGUAGCUCGAACCCAAAGCUGUCAAGAAAAAUAACAGGAAUAACAGAGAAGGGAAAGACUCAAUGUUUGGGAAGAGACAGCGGUCUCAGCUUGUGAAAGCCGAAGUCCAUAGUUUCACCGUAUCGAGGACCCCUUUCCCCAGUUCGUCGCUUCGGGUAGACCGAUCAUUGAAAAUUCUCGUAUUUCGCUGCUUCCAUAAUUUCCAGCACACUGCUGCAAAGCACAAAUCAAAGCAGGUUAAUUGCCGCCCCCUCAAAGACCUUCUAGAACAGAACCACCGAGUAGGUAAGUCGCCAGGAAUGUUCGACACCAGCAAUUGCUGUGAGUUAGAAGUACUUCGGUUGAUCCAAUUCCAUACAGCUCUCGCAUAGAUGCAGGAGAAGAGUAGAUGUUCAAGAUUCUCUUCAUGGUUUGAACAUAGAACACACAUUGAAGGGCCAAACCAGCCCUUCUUUACAAGAUUGUCGGCCGUAAGAAUUCUGUUCCGUGCUGCAAACCAGAGAAAAACUUUGACCCUCAGGGGGAUUUUAAGUUUCCACAGAUAAUUAAUUUUGCAAUCACUCACUCCACCAAAAAUAAGGAAAUCAUAAGCGCCCCGUACCGAGAACGUACCGUUAGAACUCCACCGCCAAAGAGCCGAGUCAUCCGAAACGGACAAAGUGGUGCUUUGGAUCAAUAAUUUAAAAUGCUGUAGCUCUGCUUGUUGCUCCGGAAGGCAGAGGAAAGCAUCGAAGGCCAGGUUGACGCAUUCUUUGAAUCGGCGAAGCCAGUUGUCGAUCGAGAGGUGUUUAAGUUUCGAAACAGCAUACAAAUUGGGGAAUUUGAUCCUCAGGGCACACUCACUGCUCCAUCUAGUAUUCCAAAAUGACGUCACCUUUCCAUUACCAAGGGAAAAGGAGACCGAAGCGAGGAAGGGUGCAGCAGUGCUUAAAAAACCUUUCCAAAUCGGGCUGCAACCAUUGUAAGGAAUACGAUAGCCGAGCGAAGGAGGCCUGUGCUUAUAGUGCUUUUGCAGGAGAAGCUGGACCCAAGGCAGAUCCUGGGAAUUGAAGAAAUUCCACAGGCUCUUCAUAAGCAAAGCUGAAUUCAUAGAUGUUAGGUUUCGAAUGCCCAAUCCUUCAUAUUGUUUAGGGCGACACACGUGUUCCCACAUGACCAGGCAGUGAAAAUCAUUGUUUAAUUUUCUGCCCCUCCAAAAGAAAUCACGCCGCAAUCUGUCUAAGGAUCUAACGACCUAAGAAGGUAAGAGAAAGGAAGAGCAGAAAUAAGAAGGAAUGCUAGUAAGAACCGAAUUUAGGAGGACGAGACGACCCCCCUUUGAGAGCAUCAGGCCCUUCCAACCGGCGAGGUGGUUGUCGAUCUUCUCGAUGAGCGGCAUGUAGUCAGCUCUACAUAGUUUCAUCGGGGAUAGAGGCAAACCCAAAUAAGUUAUUGGGAAAUCCUUUGAGGAGCAACCAAAAGAGUUUGCCACAGCCAUUGCUUGCUCGGUUGGCAAAUUGAUCGGGAUGAGGGUGCUUUUGUUAUAGUUUAUUUUGAGCCCCGAAUUCGAAGAGAAAGUAUCGAGAAUAAUCUUGAUAGCCGCUGCAGACCUGGUUGAACCAUCGAAAAAAAGCACAAUAUCGUCAGCGAAUUGUAACGUAUGAAGCGCAACAUUCCCGACCCCGACGGCCGAUAUCGAACCAGAGGUAACUGCUAAAUGGAUCAUUCUAAAAAACACAUCAACACAAAGAAUAAAAAGUAGGGGAGAAAGAGGAUCCCCCUGGCGAAGCUCCCGUUUGCAGGAGAGAGUCUCGCCCGGGAUGCCGUUGAGAAGAACUGCAGUAUUAGCAGAUUGCAAUAGGGCUUGUAUCCAACCGAUCCACCUGCUACUGAAGCCCCUCGCCUUGAGGAGGGAGAGAAGAAAACACCAAUUAAUGUUGUCGAAAGCUCGCUCAAAGUCGAUCUUAAAAAGUUUCGUUCCUUGGAGGAAUGAAGAUGAUGGACGAGGAUGUGAGCGCUGUUGAAGUUGUCGAGAAUAAAGCGACCCUUAAUGAAAGCUGCUUGGUAGGGAUUAAUGAGUUGAUUCAUCACCGCCUGGAGUCGGGUAGCCAGAACCUUCGAAAUGAGUUUGGCCACGCUAUGCACAAGACUGAUCGGGCGAUAAUCUGCUGCCGAGGAGGCAUCUUUUCUCUUUGGUAGAAGACAGACCCAGCCGGUGUUGAUUACCUGCAGGUUAGCCGCGCCAUUGUAGAAAUAAUUGAAAACAUCCAGAAUAUCAUCUUUGAUUAGGUUCCAGAACCGCUGAUAGAAGAACAUAGGUAGUCCAUCGGGUCCAGGUGCCUUCUCCGGGGCAGAAGAGAAAAUCGUCCUCUUCACCUCAUCCAGAGUAAAAGGUAAAUGGAGGCAAGAGACAUCCACACACUUGCUGCUGUAGAUCAUCUAGAGAUUGAUAGAGUCAGAAGAGACCUGCUCAACACCUAGUUGAUUGGAGAAAAAAGAGAACAAAUGGUUAGCUAUGGUCUCGUGGGAGGAGAGGGUGGAGGUUCCGUCGGACAGGCGAGCAAUGUAAUUUUUGUUUCUGCGGUGGUUGGCUCUGCUAUGGAAAAACUUAGUGUUGGCAUCCCCCGCUUUUAACCACUGCACUCUCGAUCUUUGUUUCCACUUUAACUCUUCUUGCAGGCAUAAUUCUUCGUAUCUUAGCUAUAACUUCGGCCUAAGAUUGCGUUCCGAAUCAGAUAAUACCCUGCCCUCCUCUGCACGGUCCAGCCACUCGAUCCACCUUAGACAGCAGUUAGUUUGAUCUCUGAUAGUACUCGAUAGGCCCACACUCUAGGACCGAAGGGCAGAUUGGAUGCCAAGAAUUUUUGAAGAAAAACGAGAUACCGGAUCAGGCUCAGUCGCAGGGGCGUUCCCUGACUUCCAUGAGUUGGAGACUACCUCUAUAAUAGCCGGAUAGCGCAACCAAAAGCGUUCAAACCUGAACAAGUUGGGAGAAAGUAAGAAAGUGUAAGCUGACAGGAUCAGAGGCGUAUGAUCAGACCGUGGUCGAGGAAGAGCACGUAGGGUGGAUCGGGGAAAGCAAGAUGCCAGUCACUCGAAACGAAGGCACGAUCCAGAUGCUUGAGUGUAGGGGAGCCCCUGCUAUUAGACUAGGUAAGUGUUUUGUUCAGAAUGGGUAGGUCGAUCCACUCGAUCUCAUUUACGACCUCUCUAAAAUUCAAGAUAUCACUAAUGCUCGAGGGCGAUCCAUUUUUGUCAAGCACAGAGAGAAGGACAUUGAAGUCGCCAAAGGCUGUCCACACACCUAGAGCGAGAUCACAGAGAUUCCGUAGCUCCUGAAAAAAUCCGACUUUAAGAGAAGGCAUAGUUGGGCCAUAUAUGUUAGAAAUUGUGAAUAACUUUUCAUCAAUCCUUCAGCGAAGCACCACAUUAAGCAAGUAGAGACAAGCCCAGUCUUGUACACAAUCAAAGAGAGCUGGAUUCCAAGCAGUUAAGAGCCCACCUCUAGUCCUUGCGGCGUCCAAUGUUCUAAACUCAAAGAGGUGAAAGUCACAGAAGGAGCGAAAUUUGUCAAGGGGUGUGGAAGCGAAUUUAGUUUCUUGGAGACAGACAACACAGCACUUGCAAUUACGAAUAACAGAUUUGACAAUAGUGCACUUAGCAGGGUCAUUGAGGCCCCUUACAUUCCACGACAAAAAUCGAAAAGAUCUAUGCCUAGCCAUAACGAAGAAGAAAAACACACCCAAAGAGGCUUCCAAAGAUUACACAUUCUUCGGAAAAGCCCCGCAGAAACUACCCCCAACUUUCGAGCAGGGAGUACCAGCGCCUUGGUCGACAAUUCCGCAGGAUGCCUUGAUCUGGAGAAUCUCCUCGGGAGAGAGAGGGAGCGUAAGGUCCCUCGACUUCUCCGUGUCCUCUUCGCACCCCACUAGCGGAUCGGAAGCCGCCCGGUGUAACCUAUCAGUGACUUGCUGUGGAAGGGGCUGAAGAAGGUGGUUCGCCGAAGAAGAGGUAGCCGAAGAGGAAGAACAGUUAAUGCGGGCGGCCUUGGCAGCAAACUUCGUUAAUUUGAAUUUUUUACACAUGAUCUCCUGAGCCUUCAGCACAGCAGAUUUUUUUUUUCCUUUAUUCUUUGCGGCGAGGCGCAAGCUUCUUCGAUAGCUAAGCAACUUUCCAGUAGUUAGACGUGACAGGCCGAGAGGAGUGGGCUGAAGGCCUGGGCGAGGAUCCGCGACCAAAGGGUUCGGCACACCAUGCUCCGAGGGCCUAGGGCCCACAUGAGAGAUAUUGUCGAUCAAAGGGUUGGGCUCCGCAGGAGUGGCAUCCACUAAAGAACCACACAGGUUCGGGCUGGGAGAAGGCUGGGCCACUUGUAGCUGAGAAGGUUGGGUCAGGCUAGAAGCAGGCGCUUGUAGAUGUGAAGGCUGAGCCGAACUAGAAGCCAACGUACUCCCUGCGACAAGCGAGUCAACCCGUACAGGAACCAGCGGACAAACGGGGUGGUUGCGUACCUUCCUGACAUGGACAGGACCACAGAUGGCAGCUUGAGUGUACGGCUCGAGAAGUUGUUUGCCCUUAGAAUUCAAAUUGAAAUGCUCGUCGGAGGUCAUCGGCGCCGGCGAUGCUCCAGUUCCAGUUCCCGACUAGGACAUUGCUCCGGUAUAUGCUGAGGCCGAUGAAGAGGCGGAUCAUGCUGCCGCCCGAUGGGUACGGAACUCUGCCGGGGGACCUGGGAAGUCCCCUGGUCCCCAAAGGUUGGAACGAAGCUGACGUCAGUUCUCCUGAUAAAAUCAUCCUGAGCCUCAACGAUGACUAGGCCAAGCCGCUCGUCGAUGUUCUCGCCGAGUAGAAUGGGGUUGGCGUCCUCGCACGAUUCAACCUCGACCGGAAUCUCAAAGCGUCGGUCCUCUACCAUCAAGUGAAUGGCCUCGGGGAUGUACCGAACGUGUUGACAACGGAUCCUUGCCCUGAAGAACGAGACGUCGAGAAGACUCUCACUGAUAGAAUCUAUGUCCCAGAGCUCUCCAAAGUUGUAGACUGCCGCUUUGACGUCCUCCUCGUUCUAGCAAAGGAUUGGCCAGUGGUGCAGCCGGAUCCACACUUUGUGGCGAAGGUGACCCCUCUCCUUCUCCCUCAUCUCCACCCAGUUAGAGAAGUAGAAGCCAAAGCCCUCAAACCAAAGAGGACUGCGACCGAUGGCCGACUCCCUCACCACCCAAUUGGGGAAGAAGACCGCCUUACAGGGAGCCUAGAAGGAGGCGACCUUGUAGUCCUCACUAGACCCCCCAAACCUGGACGCCAAACCGCGGGAUAAAAUCUCAUUGAAGUUGUGAGGUUGCCGGCCGGAAACCUCAACCCUCGCCACGCAACCCGAGAGCGAAGGUUGGCCCGCCAGGGAGGGGCCUAGAAGGGAGGAAGGCUUCCACAUGAUCCGGUCGAUUUGCUGAGGGGCCGAGCUCCAUGGUUUGACCAGGGGCAAGACGACAAAAGUUGCACGCCGCUGCAGAGUGGCCUCUUCUCAUGCAAAAGAGGCAACGCUUCGGCUCCCUGCAGCGAGCCGCUAAGUGGCCCUUCUCGAAGCACCUAAAGCAACGGUCUCGGAGGGAAGGGUUGAGGAGGAAUUUUGGGGGGCGAAGUGGUAAGGCAGGGUUGGAGAUAAAGGUGUGGGCUGGGUUAGAGACUUUAUGGGGUGGUAGGAUAAAAGGUGGGGCCAAAAUGGCAUCUUUGUAGGAGACAGAGGACCUAACGCGACUGUCCCAAAAAGACAGAGAUGGGAGUCCCUGUUUGCGAAGAGGGUGGCCCCCCCGUUUGGCAGGCGGGAAAAGGUGGGGGAGGCGAUGGGUGGGGGAGGCGAGAGGUAGGGAAGGUUUGGGGGGGUUUGGGGAAGUCGGAGCCAUAAAGUUUUUUCUUUUUACAUACGACGAAAAUAAAUGUGUGAUUAAUAAUAACUAUAAUUGAAGAGAGGGAUUUAUUGAACUCUUUGAUAAAGUUUAAGGGAUUCAAGUAUUGAAAACUUGAAGAGAGGGAUUCAAGCUCCGCUUCUAUUUAGAAAUAACAAAACUUCAGGGUUGUUAUAUGUUUUUUUUCCGUUUUAAAUUUAAGAUCUAUCAAUUAUAGUUGUGGAUAAAGUCUCUCAUCUGAUGAUGUUCAUCUACCAUCAUCUAUAAUUAUCAAAAUAAAUAUAUAAUCAACCAACAUAUGCUACCAAUAAUUAUAUCUUUUUUAAUCUAAAAUCUUCUAAUGAUAAAAUUAUUUUCAAACGUCACAAAAAUAAAGUUCUAUCAAAAUUUGAAUUUACGCACAUAAGUAGCAUAUUCUAUACAAUUCAUGCAACUAUAAAUUCUUUAAGAGACCAGUCAAAUAACUUAAAUCAAACAAAUUGAGAGGUUGGGUACUAAAUUCAAAGCUUCGAAAUGUUCAGCAAUCGAUUCAAAAUAGCCUAUGAUUCAGAUAAGUUUGUUUUAUACAUUUUGACCAAUCCAUCAGUUACUUUUGAAAUCUUUCGCCAGCCAUGCUACCUCCAAAUUUGAGAAUGCAAAAUCGAAAAAAAAAAGAAAAGAAGAGCUGAUCAUUAAAAUACUGACAUGCAGAAUAUCUCUGUAAUUAGAUUAGUGUAACCAAACACACAGGAGGGAGGAGUGAUUCCUUCGUGCAACAGUUAAACAAAAUCACCAGGUUUUGAGAGGCAUUGACUUGAAAGAGUAAUUACUAAUUAGCAUAUUAAGCAGCUUAGAAGGUAAAACCAUAAUAAUAAAGUAACACCAACUACUGCACAGUAGUAUCAUAAAAUAGCCAAAGACCAUGGUGAAGCAUCAAGAAUCAUUGAUCAAUUACGGCAUGCAACUACCAAUAUAAAUCCAUUUAAAUACUAGCAUCAUCAUUCUGCACGAAACAGAACAUCGUUCCAAUUUGUGGUGUUACAUUUUGCAUGAUGUAAUUGUAAGUGUAGAGUUAAUUUAGUUAGAACUUAUCCAUGAGGUGGUUUACUGCGAGUAAAAUAGCAACUAAGCGGAAUCAGAAGUUAAAACUGAGGAUUUGAAGUUAAUUAUUUGCGCAGAUGCUAAUUAAGUGAAACAAUAAUUAAGUGAAGCAACAAGUACAGGUGCUAAGUGACUCAACAGUACAUAUUCUUUAUUUAUCUCAACAUCUGAGGAACUACAAAGAAUUGAAGGGCUGCACUAUCCCAAAUGAGAAUUUCAGAGCAAAAAAAAUAAAAAAGAAAAGAAAAAUAAUAAUCGAAAGAAACAAACAAAAAAAAAAUUAAACACCACUCCAUGUCCGACCAAGUCGCAAGGAGAGCAAUUCGUCAUCAUCACCAUCAUCAUCUUUCCUCUCCGGCGCGUUCUUAGGCUCCUCCUCUGGCUCUGCCGGCUCAUUAUUAGGGAAGAAGUUGUGCAGACGGCAGGCUCCGAUGCCUCUCCCAUAAUCACGAGCGUCGCUCGCUUGCUCGGAUUGCGACAGAAGCGCAGGAUUAUGCGAUUCCAAAAAAGGCCCAUUGAAGUAACUCACAAUCCUCACUUUGCGCUCAGCUGCCGGGGCGGGCGUUUCCUCUCGCUGCUCGCGAGCUCUUUUCUUGUUUAUAAUAAUCAGCGGGCCCUCGUAGUGCUUCCUCAUGUGGCCGCCCAGCGACUGCCCCGUCGCGAACGUCCUCCCGCACUUCUCGCAUGUGUGGGCCCCGCUGCCGCCUGCGGCAGAGCUGCCACUGCUCCCCUUCUUUUUCGAGCUCGUUCCCUUUUUCACGUCAGACACUGUUCCAUUGCGCGCAGCGAUGAUCGCGCCCGCCGCCACCCCUGCCCCUGCCCCUGCCCCUGCAGCGACGACGCUGAUGUUCGCUGGUUGAUUGAACCCGUCUUUCAUGAUAACUUCCCCAUUGCCGCCGCUGCCGCCACCAGCAGUCCUAUUGUCUCUAGUGAUUUUAUUCUCACUGCUACCACUAUCAUCACCUUGCGGCCGCUGAGGUGACUUUUCCGCAACAAGCAAGGCCAUAUGGGGAUCAAGAAGCGUGUGCUCGUGUGUGAUUGUGUGUGUGAGAGCGCGUUAGUGUAAACUAGAGUUUGGGAGUGUGGAAACGAAGAGAGAAAGAGGGGUUUUAUAACAUAUAUAUAUAUUUCCAUAUAAUUCCAAUUCUACUCUGACUAGUAGAAAUCAAUAAAAGAAAAUUCUAUUUGAAUUGCAAUCCUAAUUGUACUAGGAAUCGAGAAUUAAACUGCUCCCAAUUUCAAAUCCGCGAAUCCGCGUCCGUCUCUCCUCCGGGAUUAGGAUUAGGAUUUCACUCCGCGGCUGAUCGUUCUGCGCCAUUGCUCCAUCAAUCCUUCUCCUCCUCCUCCUCUUCUUCUUCGUCUUCUUCCUCGAUCCAUCUCCUCCUGCUUGUGAUCCUCCUCCACCGACGCUUCCUACGGUUAGGGUUAGGGUUAGAAUUAGGGUUUGGCUCGGGGGUUCGGUCGCCAUUAACGUCGCCAGCUCUGGUUUGGGUUGUUUGUGAGGGAGAGGGGAGGUUUUUUUAGUAGCGCGAAGCUCUUCUCGCUACAGUUCAGGGACGUCGAUGGUAUGAUAUUCGAAAUUUUAUGUGAAUCCGAACCCGAAUCCGAAUGAAACGGAUAUAUCUGAUACUAAAUAGACAUGAAUUCGGAUAUGGAUAUCAAAAAUAAAAAUCCAACGGAUAUAAAUUCGAAUAUGAAUUUUGACUGUACCCGACCAGAAUCCGACCCGAACCCAAAUUUAUUUUAUAUUAUAUAUAAUAUAUAUAAAAAUUUGAUGUUAUAUUUAAAUUUGUAUUUUAAAAUUUUAAAUUUAAUAUAAUAUAUUUUGAAAUAUUGAACAAAGAAAUAAUUAUUUUGGUUUCAAAAUUUCGGGUUCGGGUUUGGGUUCGGGUUCGGGUCUCAGAUUUUCUAUUGGGUUCAUGUUUAAAUAUGAAUUUUUAAAAUCCGUCGGGUUCGGAUUCGGAUUUGGAGUCGGAUUCGGGUUUUUGAAAAUCCAUCCCGAAUCUGAUUCUAUGACAUACGGUCGAGGUUGAGAUUAUUGCGCGCACCUGGUGCAUGAAGCACCCACGAUUUUAGGUUUUUUUUUUUUUUUUUUCGGAAAAGCAUCAUCAUUACUUUAUUCUCUGGGUAUGGUCUGUUCGAAAAAUAUAUAUAUAUAUAUGCCUUUACUGCUUAGACUUAUUUUUUACAGAUAAAAAUGUCAAAUAAUUACUCUUAUAAAAUUAAAAAUAUUCUACAGGCCCAGUGGUCUAAAAUCCCCAUCCCAAAUGUCAGUACACCGUUUGGCUUUGGAAAAGUGAUUUUGGAACAAAAAAUAAUUUCCGGCUUCUAAAAGUUUGGUAAUCACACUUUCAAAUUUUGGUUCUAAUUUUUAGAAUUAAUUUUCUGAUACUCGAAAACCAAUUCUUAAAAUCGAUUCUGAAUUUGGAUCCAAAAUUCAAAUUCUUAUUGUUUUGAUUUAGACUCAAAUUUUUUAAUUUAAAUUCAAAUUUUAAUUUAAAAAAUUUUAAAUUUUUAUUUAAAAUUCAAACUAUAAAUUUAAUAUCAAAAUUUAUAUAUUAAAUUUAAAAUUUAAAAUUAUAAGCUUUGGUUUUCCAACUACCAAUUUAAGAUUUUAAAAAUUUAAAUUUAUAAUUUAAAAUUUUAAUUUUCCAUAUUCCUUUUUAUUUCUCAUCAAAAGUAACACACGAUAGCAAAUGUAUCUCGAGUAAUAACACCACCCUUAAAAAAAACAAGGAAGAUCCCAAAAAAAACAAAAGAAUUAACACUCUUUCAACCAUAAACCUAGCAUUAGAAACACUUUCAGAAUUAAAGUAAAUUCUUAUUAUGUCAAGAUCAGAUCCAAGAGAGGAGGUUGAAACAAGAAAAAUCUUCGGCAAAACUACACAACACCAUCAUGCAAGAAAAGUCCAGAUUCAGAAGCUUACAACAUAACAACACACUGGUUCAGUCUUAAGGGUUGUAAUGUUAGGGAAGACACAUACAUAUGCCGUGCCUUCAAGAUGCCAAAUUCUUCUUCUAAUCUGUGAAGAGUAUAUCACAACCGUCGUAAUAAUAAUGAAACAAGAAGAGAGCGUCUCUCGCUUCUUUUAUCUUACAACAACAUAGCCGUCUACAAUCUUAUCUUACAGAGGUUUUGCUUUGUCGGGCUCAGCCCAUAGCGUACUUCUGGGUCCAAGCACGAGCUGUCUCCUCAUAGCGGGACCGCUGGGUCUUGUAGAGGUGCGCGAUCUCGGGGACGAGAGGGUCGUCGGGGUUGGGGUCGGUGAGGAGGGAGCCGAUGGAGAGGAGGACCUUCGAGAUGGUCAGCGCAGGGCUCCACUGCUCCUUGAGGAUGUCGAGGCAAAUGCUGCCGUUCGAGUUGAUGUUCGGGUGGUACACCUAACAUGAUUUAGUGCAUAAUCAUAUUACUACUACACUGACGGCUGCUGUCAGAGCAAGAUUACUCCUACAGCUCAUACUGCUUGUUUUUGCCUUGGAUGGGACUUGUACAUAAGGGCUGUUUGAGUCGAGCUGUUUAAAAAGCAACUACAUUUUUUUUGAAAAAAUAUAUAUUUAGCAUUGCAAAUUAUUUCGACAGCUACACUUUGAAGCAACCAGCAGAAGCUUUUUAGUGCCCAUUUGGUCUUAAGCUUCUUUUUCUGCUACUUUCAACACAUAUAAUAAUGUUCUGCAGAAUGAAGAAUACGGAAGCAAAAAUGGACUUUUUGCUUCUACUUUUGCUUUUGUUGUAUUGGAAAGUUAAAAUGAACUUAUAAGCCUGAAAGCUGAAGCUUCAAUGUUGAGUUUCUGCUUCUCCUGCAAGAAGAAGUUGUUAGAGGGAGCUUAAAUGUAAAAGCUGUAGGGUUUUUCCAACAAAGAGGCAAAAUGGAACUUCUACUUUUGAGAAGCACAUUAUGGCUUUACUAUACAGUCAGAAGAUCUGAUUUUGGUUUGCCAAAUGUCUACCUUCUGAUUUUCCAAUUCUCGAGUAAAGAAAAUAUUCCAGAAGUCAGACCACAUAGCCAAAACACUAGGAUAUUGCACUAAAAUAAUACGUAAGAACAAAUUUUCCAGUAAACUAUAGAUAUUACACUUGUGAGUAAUUUAAACAUCAAUAACAUUAUGGCAAGUUGAGAAAAAGUUGGCGCUGUAAUUUGGUGACAAAUAUUAAACAAAGGAAAUGCAUCAAUCAUGGUUUUCACAAAUCACGCUGGAUACUACUUAAAAUGCAUGCUACAAAUAUAUGGCCCUUUUAACUGCUUAAAACUGUAAAAGACAAGGUCCAUCCAACUUUCGAUAGUUUGAGGACAGUCAAUAGGUCAAAGCAAGUGCAUCAGAAAGUCACAACUUAAAAUAGUUUCACUUCAAUUAUCACCCAUUAUCAAGACGCAAAAGAUAAUAUCAACUAACCUGAUGAAACCAGCAGCAAUUCAAGGAAUACUCGCAAAAGACCAGCUUAGUUUUAAUAUAUAAAUAGUUCGCCAAGGUCAAACAUAAGUGCUUCCGCCAUGAAUUCCAUGGCAUGUGUGAUUCGUUACGGAAGCCUUAUUUGAAUUAUUCUUAGAUGGCACAUGAAAAAUUAAUUAGGAUUCCUCCAAUACAAAUUAACUGCCUAUUAGAUUCCGCAGCUUUGAACACACGAGGGACCGGAAGAGGCAGUGGAGUUUAAAAUAGGUGAAAGCAUACAGAUCAUACCCGAUCUCUAACACAUUUUGAAAGAAGUACCUGAACUUAAUAUAUUCUGAUUAUACUACCUAACCUUACAUAAUUUUUUGUUAGACUUCAUAAAAUAUCAAAUGUUUUCAUUCUACUACCAACCCUACAAUGUUUGUAACAUUUUUUGACAGCAUAUUUCGAAAUACUCUGUUGACAGUAGUCCAAAUACUGUUACAUUAGGUAAUAGAACAAAAACGUUUUUAAAAGUCAAAUAUCUAUUAAAGAAAAGGAAAAAAAAACUGUAAGGUUGUGUAGUAAAUUCAGAGUAUUUAAAGUAGAGGUGCACUGUAGUUCAGGUAUGGCCUGUAUUGUCACCGUUAAAUAUUCAUAAACAAGCAAGCAAGCAAGCAAGCAAAUGCAAGGGUUCAUAGGUAAUAUGAUUGAGUUUUGGUCAUUAGGAAUGUUUCACAGCAGCUCUCUAGGCCUUGUGUGAUUAGGAAUUAGUAUCCCUUCACACGCACCCACAAUUAAUUUGGUUAGAUGAGGUGCAUGCAUGCAAUUUCCGAGAAAAGGAGGGCAAGUAAAAUAUAUAAGCAUAAGAACAAGAGUCCUGUUACCUUGGUCUGGAAGUUGACCUUAGGAGGCUUGAAUGGAUAAUCAGGAGGAAAAUGAAUCUUGAUGAAGAACACCCCACCGGCAUAAGGGCUAUCAGUGGGUCCCAUUAUUGUUGCCUGCCAAUGGAAUAGAUCCUCUCCGACAGGUCCAGCGCUGCACGAAGUUGGAGGAUCUUUUUGCAAAUCCAACAAUUCCUUCUGAAUCCUUUUGCUAGCCAUUACCUCCUGAUUUCAAACAGAAAACGAAUCAAAGAGAGAGACAACUUAACCAUGCACAUAAAAUAUGUGCCUGAUAAACUUAUUGUUAUCAAAUGUUCUCUUUUCUUUCUUUUCUACUAUUUCGGCAGCACGUUUAGAUCUACAGUUAUGACAUGCUAGAAUCAGUGUGCUUCCAAGUAUAAGAUAAAGAAGAAAGAAGAAAGAAGAAAGAAUAAAGAAGUAAUUCCAGAAGCAAGUUGAACCAGCACAUCUGCAAGUAGGACAAAUUACUAUUAGCUAAACCAAAAUUAACAAGAUUUUAGAGGCAUUGAGUUGAAGAGUAAUUACUAAUUAGCAUGCUAAGCAGCUCAAAAGGCAAAAAUAUAACAAAAAAGUGAAGCCUCUUGUGAGGGAAGAACUCUGAUAUUCAUUAUAGUACUAUAUCAUAAUUUAGUAAAGGAUUAUAAUGGAACAUCAAAGUUAGUUACUUAAAACAUUCAUCUACAGUUAUAAAACUGGUUAAACAAGUGAUGUUUUAUGCGCUUCCGAGAUCACAUGUGCAAGCAACACAAUUGUUAGACAAUUCUGGUAUUACCAAGGUAUAAAUUAGAGCUAUCAAUAUAGCUCGCAGUUUUGAAGCCAGCUCAUGUUCGACUCAAUAUUGACUUGAACUUGGUUCGUUCGUUUAUUAAACGAGUCGAUCAGAAGCUCACUUUUUCAUCUCAAGAAAUAAACGAGCCGAACACAAGCUAGCCCCUACUCACCUGUGCUUAGCUCGACAUAGCUCGAAAAUAAAUACUAUAUAGAGAGAGAGAGAGAGCUAUGCUUCUAUGCUUUCGAAAGUACGGAGGCCUCCGUGCUUGUAAGUUGUUUUCGAUGAUGGAUAAUUCGAUUCGGCGAUCGUCUCUGUAAGACAUGAUCUACGCUAUUGGAACUAUUUAGAAACCAAAUUUCAUAAUUUUUUAACUUAAUUUGCCUAGUGAACGAGUAGCUUCAAAAUGAACGGCUGAAAAUAAAAAUCUCAUAAAAAAUAGUGAUAAAAGACAAAUUUUAAAUCGGAAGUAUUGUUCUUGCUCUUGAUAUUAAGUAGAAUUUUCAAUUAAAGUUUCAUGUAAUUUGGAUUCUUCUACAUCAUUGAACUUACAAACGUGCCACAUUGGCCGUUAAAAUAGUCAUUUUUUAGACUCUUUGAUCACUUGGUAAAUUAUGUCGAAAAAUUAUGAUUGGUUUCUAAAUUGUUCUAAUAGCAUAGAUCAUGCCUAAUGGAGCCGAUUGCCAAAUCGGAUGCCCUAUCAUUAAAAACAACUUACAAGCACGAAAGCCUCCGUACUUUCGAAAGAAUAAGAGACGUACUCUCUCUCUCGCUCUCUCUCUCUCUCUCUCUAUAUAUAUAUAGAGAGAGAGAGAAAGAGAGAGCUAGGCUGGUAUACUAUCGGUAGCACGGAGCCCUCCGUGCUACCAAGUUGUUUUCAAUGAUGCAAUUUCCAAAUCGACGAUCGGCUCCGUUAGACUUGAUCUACACUAUUGAAAGUAUUCGUAAACUAAAUUUCAUAAUUUUUCGGCAUCAUUUCGCUAGUGAUCAAAAGGUCUCAAAAUUGAUAAUUUUAAUGGUAGAUGUGAUACGUUUGUGAAUUUAACGGUGUAAAACAAUCCGAAUCUGACGAAAUUUUUAUAAAAAAUUCUUUUCACUAUUUAGAGUAAGAUCAGUACCUCAGGUCUUAAAUUCAAGCCUUUUAUCAUCAUUUUUUAUGAGGUUUUUAUUUUCAGCCGUUUAUUUUUAGACUACUCGUUUGAUAGGUAAAUGAUGCCCAAAAUUUAUAAAAUUUAGUUUUCAAAUACUUUCAAUAGUGUAGAUCAAGUCUAACAGAGCCGAUCGUCAAUUUGGAAGCCGCAUCAUUGAAAACAACUUGAUAGCACGGAGGGCUCCGUGCUACCGAUAGUAUACCAGCCUAGCUAUAUAUAUAUAUAUAUAUAUAUAUAUAUAUAUAGAGAGAGAGAGAGAGAGAGAGAGAGAGAGUAGGGCUACUAUACUCUUAUGAGUAUAGAGUCCUUCGUACUCAUAAGUUAUUUUCGAUGUUGGGGUUUUCGAAUCGACGAUCCACACCGUUAAAUAUGAUCUAGAGUAUUUGAAACUUCUAGAAAAUAAAUUUCGUAAUUUUUUGAAAUCAUUAUAAAGUCCAUCAAGUGGGUAUAAAAUGAACGGUCAAAAUCGAACGACAUCCUAAAAAUGGAUGAUCGGAUCCUUCAAUUUAAGAUCGGAGUUAUUGAUCUUUAUUUAGAUAGUGAAUAAAAUUUUCUAUCAAAAAUUCAACCUAUUCCGAUUCUUUUUCACCGUUAAACUAGCAAAUAUUUCAUACCGGCCGUUAAAAAUUGUCAAUUUUGUGAGCUUUUGAUCAUAAGGUAUAUGAUAUCGAAAAUUAUAAAAUUUGAUUUCUAGAAGUUUUAAAUGCUCUAGAUAAUGUUUAACGGUAUAGAUCGUCGAUUCGGAAGCUCUAUCAUCGAAAACAACUUAUGAGUACGAAGGCGAUCGUACUAAUAAGAGUAUAGUAGCCGGACUAUAUAAUAUAUUAAUUUUGAAUUGAUAUGUAGCAAAUUUAAAUACUAUUUUAAGUUUUUAAUUUUUUUAGCAUUACAUUAACAUUAACAUUUUAAUACUAAUUAGUAAUACUAAGAACAAAAGCAAGCAUCAAUAAUAAUAAAUUACUAAUUAUACUAAUUAUAGUUAGUAUAAAGAUUUUAUAAAAGUAUAAUUAAAGUUGGCUCGAAAUAACUUUGAGCAAGAUCAAAUUAAUUUCAAGCUGAAAACGGGCUGGAUUAUGCCAUCUUAUUUUAGUUUCAAGCCAAACACAACUAGGCUCGAAUUAUUUUCGAGCUGAUCUCGAGCUAGCCCCAGGUUGCUCAUGUUUGGCUCAUUGAAUGUUGUAGUUCAAAUUAUUAGAUUCUUCAAGAAAUACAAAAAAAAAAGGAGAGUAUAAGCAAAACUUGCAUUUCUUUAUAUAUUUUACACCAUUUUCAAAUACACGUUGAAAACAAUAUUGAAACUCCAUGAUGUUUAUUCAACAAAAUAUGCAAAUUAUUAGAUUGAGGCAUGAGUAGGGUUGUGCUCCGGGCUAUCCGGCGAGACCUAGAUUUUCGGGCUGGUUUGGGCCACAAAGUGGCCCGGCCCAGCCUGGAUUCUAAUCAGGGCCAUGCCAGGCCGGGCCACCUUUUUUUGGAUUGUGGCUCAACAUGGCCCAUGGCCCGGAUCAGGCCGGGCCUGAAAAUGGCCUAUUUAACUAUAUUUUUCAUUUUUUUUAUUUUUAUAUUUAAAUUUUAUUUUUGAAAAUUUUUACUACUGAUUUUAUAAAAUAUAUAUAGUUUUUUAUUAAUAAAUAAGUUUUAGAUGAAUUUUUAGAAAAAUUAUUUGAAAUUUAAAUAAUUUAAAUUAAUAUUUGAAAUAAUACAUACAAAAAAAAAUUAAAAAAAUGCAUUAGAAAAAGAAAUAAAUAAAUAAAUAAAUGGCCCAGCCUGGUGCUUACUGCUUAGGCCCAGUCCAAAAUGGACCAGGCCACACCCAGCCCUGUGGCCCAGCACUGCCCACAUUUGGAUGUGGGCCGAGCCGUGCCGGGCCACCGGUCAACAAGUUGCAGCCUAGCAUGGCUCGCACCACCAGGCCAGGCUGCAGGCCGACUGCAAAUGGGCAAGCAUGGCUCGCAGUCGGGCUGGUUUUACACCACUAGGCAUGAGUAAUCUAUAACUCACACAUAUUUUUCCAUCAAUAAUUUGCUUUCGGCAAAAUUUUUAGCCUGCUAGAUAUUCACAAAUUAUUAAUAAACUAACUAAAGGUUCUGUUCUGACAGUGCCACCUUAUUGGCCAUCAGCCUUCUCACUUUAAUUCUUUUUCCCCCUUAUCAUUUAAACCAUUUAUUUUCCAAUUUGUUAAGCAUGUAAAUAUCAUGGCGCUGUAUUGAUAAGAGUUUGCCAAAAUGGAAUUGAGUUUCAGCUCAUUUGGUCUCUUAACAAGCUAGCAUCAACAUAUAAUGAGAAGAUGUCAAAGGAACUGCUCUCAAUCGCUCUCUAUAAUCAUCUAGCAGCUGAAAUUAAUAAGCAACUAUCGAUGUCCAGUUACUUGCACCAAUAUUUGAUUAGAUUGACCUCUGAAGAACACUGGAUCUCUGAAAAUUAGGCAUAUAGGUUGCAUAGAUUGGUAUGCUAACAUUAUCAACUGCUUAAACUACACUAAAAUUUUGCAUCAAUGGUGGUAAAUGAGUCCUAACUUCACAUUUUACCUUGUGUAUUCACAUCAAUAACCCCACACCAUCAAUAAUCCAUCAUCAUUAGGUUAACAAUUCUCAACAGAAAUUAAUUAAUUUGGCUUACGAGCAUCUGGCUUUUGGCCUCAGACCAAUCCAAUCAAGCAUUCAAAGAAUCACACAGCUUCUACAAACCCAACUGGUUAAUAUACUCCUCGUCCGAAACUUCUCUAACAUCAAAUUAAUGCAAAAAAUCCAACAAAUUCAACAAUAUGCGUACGAAAAGAAGGACUCCAAUCCAACAAACACUAACCAUAUCUCACCAAAUCGGUUCUUCUACUCUUAAAUUCAUCACAACGGGAUCAAUAAACAAGAAACAAAAGGUAAUUUAAACAAAAAAUCCUAAAACUAAACAACCCAAAAAAAAAGGCACUCCGAUCCUAUAGAAACCCUAUGUAACCCUAAUCGAUCCGGAUCGUUAAGUAUGGAGCUGGAUUUAGAGAAGAAGAAGAGGGGAUUCUCUUACCGAUUAUGAGAAUCCGAUAGAGGGGAGGUCGAUAAUGGCGGAUUAGGGCUGGAUCUCUCUCCUCCGCCACCGAGAGAGAGAGAAAGAGAGAGAGAGAAUUAGGGCGCAAAAACCGGUGGGAAAAGGAAGGGGAAGGGGAAUAAAUAGCGGGUCAAAAUGCGUGGAGACCCCUCAACUAUACUAAAUUUACAAAUAAGUAUCUCCAUUUAAAUUUGUUUUAUCUUAUACGCCAUUAUUUUUUCAUUUUUAUUUGAGAUUUUUGAGUUGUGAAUAAAAUUAUUAAAUUUGGUGAGAUACUAAUAAAUUCGAUGAAACUUUUUCAUUAAUUAUAUUAAAAAAUGUAAAAAUGCAUGGAGAUCCACUCAACUGUAGAUCAUUCCAAAAUAGCCCCCUCAACUUCUUAUUUUUUUAAUUUAAUUUUUUAUAUUUAGUUAAAGCUUAAAAUCUCACAAAACUUAAUGGCCUUAUUAGUUAUUAAUUAUUAAUUGACCCAGUUUUAUUUGCCAAAAAGUGGUUAAAAUCAUUAAAUUGGGUAAAAUCACUGUGAAUUUGAUAAUAUUUUCAAAUUCUAUGGCUAAAAUUAUUAUAUUAAAGGAUUAAUUUCAUACAGGUCUCUACAAACAUAGUAAAUUACAAAUAUAUCCUUACAAAAUUCAACUUUCAUACGUUGUUUCUAUAAAAAUCUUAAUAUUUUCAAAUAUGUUCCUGCCGCUAGAAAAUUUUAGCUAACCAUAAGUUAAAUGCUUAACUCUAAUUAAUUUAUGAGAUAACUUGAUAUUUUUGCCUUUCUCAUAUUAAACUAUUUUGGUUUUUUGAAGGGACAUAUUUGUAAUUAAAAAUUAACAUUUUACUUAAAAUAUAUACAGUUCUAUAAACGAUAACAAAUCAGAGGGACAUACUUGAAAAUAUUAGAACUUUUAUAGAAAUAAUUAUAAAAGGUGAAUUUUGUUAAUAACAUAUUUGCAAUUCACUAUCUUUAUAGGGACAUGAAUGUAUUUAAUGUUAUAUUAAAAUAUUAAAAGUCAAGGGAUCACAAUCAUAAAAAAAAUAAUAAUAAUAACUAUGGGGGCUGUUUUAGAAUGGUAUAUAUUUGAGGUGAUCUGUGUACAUUUUUACAAUCUUUUUUCCUUAAUUUAAUUUUUUUUAUUUAAGUUUUUCUAGUUAGUUAAAUAAAAAAUAUUAUCAAAUUUUAUAGUUUUACUCGCUAAAAAGUGAUUAAAGCUAUUAAAUUUAAUAAAAAAACACUCACGACUUUACUCAAAACUUUUCAUUUAAUUAUUAAUUUAAAAAAAAAAAGAAGUUGAGGGACAUGUUUCAAAAUAAUCUAUAGUUGAGGGGGCUUUAUACACUUCUUGCCUUUUGACUUGACCCGGUUUUGUGUGGUCCCAUUCUCCCAGCCCAGAAGAUUCCAAUGGAUUAGGGCGUAGACCAGGUCCACCACGUCAGCUAGACAGGACCAAUCAAAGUACCUCAAAGUGCGCAUUUGGUUGUAAAUUAUUCGGUGCACAUAGUGUACCACGUAAGCGACGAACCGAACGUGUAAGAUGCACACACGUUGCUUACUCCCAUUGGCAGUGGCGUUUUAAUGAUUGAUUCACAUACCUGGUCUAUAGACCCGGUCCAGGAAAUAUCUCCACACUCUCGCGGGUUACAGUUUCUUGGGUGUUUAUAUAUAUAUAUAUAUAUAUAUAAAAUAAUUUUUAAAAAAGGGAUAAUUGCGUAAAUAACCCCGCGAAGUGGAGAUAUUGCAUAUUAACCUCUAUAAAUUAUAAGAUAUCUUAUAUAUCCCUACAAAAUUUAAAAACUUACCAAUAUGUGCGUAAAUUGAUUAUUUUGUCUUUAUUUUGAUCCGCCGUGGCAAUCGUUUUCAAUGAUGAGAUGCAACUCUAUCAUCUUUUAUUAGUAAAUUAAAAUUAUUUAAUUUUGCUUAGGUUUCUUUAUAUUAUCUAUAAUUGCAAACAAGGACAAAAUAAUCUUUUUUUUAAGUAAAAUAUAAAUGUCUUUUAACCGGUCAAUGAAAGUAUUUGUCAAAUUUCAAAGUCUUGCAGGGCAUAUUUUUAAUAUUUAAAGUUUGGGGAGACAAACAUACAAUAUUUCUUUUCUUUUUUUUUUCUGAAUUCAAUAUAAUAAAAAAUUAAAUACUAACACACAAAUUUGCGUUGAGUUAGAAUAAUUCUAAGGGGUUAUUUAGUUGCACGUAACUGUAAAUUGUAUUGCAAUUGUAGCCACUCAGGUGUUUAUUUUGAUGCAUUUAAAUUUACUGGUGCAAUUACAGUUGUACGAGUAGGCUCAAUUACAAUAGUUGAAGCUUGCGCUCGAAUUUGGCCACAGUUUCAACUACAGCACUUGGAGAGGAAUAAUUAUUACUGAAGAUAAACUUAUCUUUCUAAUGACUUUUGUAAAAAUUCGUAAAUACAACUUCUCAGCCGAAUGCAACCAAGCAAGUUAUUUAUACAUGCAACGCUUCCUGCUACAUUCAACCAAAAUAAAAUGCGUAUAAUUAUAAAUACUGUAUUUUCAACUGCAUUUAUCUUCAAAUGCACUGCAUUUAUAAGCAUGUCAAACCAAGGAAGCCCUAAAAGGAGUCUAGCUACUAUUCUUCUAGGAGGACAAAAGCCUUCACCCUCCUAACUUAUUUUAGAUGAUAGGAAUCUCGAAUCGAUGAUCAGAACCAUUAAAAUUGAUCUAAAAUAUUUAUAAUGUCUAGAAACUAAAUUUUAUAAAUUUUAAAAUCCGUUAUCAAAUUCAUUAAAGAGUCGAGAAAUGAACCGUCAAAAAUGAAUAAUCUUGUGAAAAUACAUAUUAGACUUUUUUAAUUCAUGAUCGGAAUUAUCAAAAAUUCAAGUUGUUUAGAUUAUUCUCCACUGUUAAACAAGCAGACGGCUCAUGUAGGUUGUCAAAAACUGUUGAUUUUGCGAUUUUUUUUUAUCACUAUGUAAAUAUUUUUUAAAAUUCAUGAAGUUUAGUUUCUAGAUACUUUAAAUAUUCUAAAUCAACUUUAACAGUUUCGAUCAUCGAUUUGAAAUUUCUAUCAUCUAAAACGACUUAGGAGGAUAAAGCCAUCCGUCCUUCUAAAAAGAUAGUAGAUGUAUUUCCCUAUAAAAGUUUUUUUUUUUUUUUACCCACUUUGUUUAUUUCAUUUAGAAAUAAAUUUAACUGAAAAUGUGAAUCAACUAGAAUUUGAAUCUGGAACUUCGGGUACCAACCACCAACCCUGAAAGUUUUAUUAUUUGCAUACUUCUAACUCUUUUUUUCCAUUUAUCUCUAUUAAAUCUUAGGCAUCUAAGGGCUAUGGUCCAUGAGUGGUUGAAGGGCAUGAAUAAUAAUACUUUUGGAAGUAUCCCACCAAAUAUUAAACAAAUUUCUAAUAAGAAGGAUUUUGUGACAACUAAAAGAUAUGAUUAUUCUCAAUUGAUCGAUCCUUAUCCAAAUGUCUUUAUCAGAAAGAGUUAAGCUUUGUAUGGAUAUGGAGGUUUUUUUUUUUUUUUUUUUUUUUUUUUUUUUUUUUUUUUUUUUUUUUUUUUUUUUUUUGUGGAUGGUGAAAUCAACCAAACACAUGAGUUUAGUAUCCUACGCCAGAACAAGUUUAGUUUAUAAGGUCCCCUUCACAGUGUGAUCAAUGCUAUAUGUAUAUUUAUAUAUAGAGAGCUAGGCUCUCGCUCUUUCAAAAGCACGAAGAUCUCUAUAUUUAUAAGUUGUUUUUUAUGAUGGAACAUCCGAUUCAACGACCGACUUUGUUAGAUAUGAUCUAUGCUGUUAGAACUAUUUAGAAAACAAAUUUCAUAAUUUUUUCAUUUUGUUUAUCUAGUGAACGAGCAACAUUAAAAUAAACGGCUGAAAAUAAAAAUCUCAUAAAAAAUAAUAAUAAAAGAUUUAAAUUUUAAAUCAAAAGUAUUGUUCUUGUUCUUAAUAUUAAGUACCAUUUUCUAUUAAAGUUUUAUAUAAUUUGGAUUCUUUUACACCGUUGAACUUACAAACGUGCUACAUCGGCCGUUAAAAUAAUCAUUUUUAAGACCCUUUAAAAUAAUCAUUUUUAAGACCCUUUGACCACCUGGUAAAUAAUAUAAAAAAAAUAUGAAAAUUAGUUUUUAAAUAGUUCUAACAGCGUAAAUCAUACUUAAUGGAGCCAAUCAUACAUACAUGAACUAUAGAGUAAGUCUCAUAUGCUUUCGAGAGUACGGAGGCUUCCGUACUUACAAGCUGUUUUCGAUGAUAGGAUAUCCGAUUCAAUGAUUGGCUUCGUAAAAUAUGAUCUACAUUAUUAGAACUAUUUAGAAACUAAAAUUAUUUAGAAACCAAAUUUUAUAAUUUUUUGACAUUAUUUACUAAGUGAUUAAAGGGCCUAAAAAAUAACUAUUUUAAUAGCCGAUGUGGUAUAUUUGUAAGUUUAACGGUAUAAAAUAAUCCAAAUUAUAUGAAACUGCAAUAGAAAAUCCUACUUAACAUUAAGAGUAAGAAUAAUACUUUCGAUUUGAAAUUUGAGUCUUUUACAUUAUUCUUAUAAGAUUUUUAUUUUCAGCCGUUUAUUUUGAGAUUACUCGUUCAUUAGACAAAUGAAAUCGAAAAAUUAUGAAAUUUGGUUUCUAAAUAAUUAUAAAAGCAUAGAUCAUACCUAAAGGAGCCAUCAAAUUGAACGUCUCAUUAUCGAAAAAAAACUUAUAAUCACGGAAGCCUCCGUGCUUUUGAGAGAGAGAGGCUAGGGCUACUAUACUAUUACGAGUAUAAAUUCUUUUUUACUCAUAAGUUUUCGGCCGUUGGAUAAAAGGAUGUGCGAUUAGGAUAAUAGUAAUUCUGGAUUAGGUUGAUAAUGGUCCCCUAGGAUUAAGUGGGUAGUUGGUUAAAUAAUAUGAUCCAACGAGUAAAAAUGGUCAAAGGGAUAGAUCUAACCACCAAAAACUUAUGAAUACUAUAUAUAUAUAUAUAUAUAUAUAUAUAUAUAUAUAUAUAUAGCACUCAUAGGAAUAAAUGCGUCUACAGGGGCACAGGGUACACAGAUUGUGAAUUCAUAGCACUGACCAAUCACGUGUCAGAAUAAGCAGAUUAAUAAAUAUAUAACACAUACGGAAAUGUGACAUUUACUUGGCUUGGAUAUCAAAAUUACUGAAUCUACUCUUGUUUGUCGCAUUAGGAAACGACUCAGAAGUAGUUUGGAACAGUGUAACUAAACUGCAUACGUAAUUGACCAAAGUGAAAACAGUAGUUUCUGUUAUUAAAUGAUCAUAGAGUCAGGACUUUGGACUUUAAAGAGUUUUCGAAUCAAAUCUAUCAGAAAAUGUCAAAAAAACUCUUAACAAUAUUUAGCCAGUAAAUAAUAACCAAACUUAAUUAACAUUUGUUGUUACAAGUAUAUAUCCUCAGAGAUUGAUCUCUUUUGAAUAAUCGCAUGGAGAUCGAAUGCGCGUGUUUAUUAGUUUCAAAUUAACCUUUGCAUGAUCAUUUGGGUCGCAAUAAUGUAGCUCACGAUUGUUAGUAUAUAUUUCUGGGCUUAUUUUCUAGUAAAAGAUCUUUCUAAUAACAUAGCAUUAGAGUUGAUUCUAAACCUUUUUGUUCUGUAAAGUUGUGGAUUCAGUAUCUAACUACCUUUGGCAUUUAACAAGUUAAAGUUUCAUCUCAUAUCCUAUCUCACCUUUCAAUUUUAUGUGCCUACUACAUCCAUCGUGUACGUGAAUGAGAGUGUUAAUAUAUGUACGUUAACGAGAAUGAGGAGGGUACCUGCAAGGAGAGAAUGGGUAGGGGAGGUGGGUCAGGUUGGCGUGCAGCGCUCUCNAUUUAAAUUUCUGGAAUAACAAUUUAUAAACAUAGUGUGUGUUUCUCUGUAUAUAUAUAAAUAUAGUUUUAUAAACAAUUUCUUCUACUAUUUAUUUUUCUUUUAUUUACUGAUUUAUUUAAAUUAUUUGAAUAGAUUUAUCUCAAAUCUUUUUCACAUAAAUCUUUACAAAAUAAUUUAAUUAUUAAUAAACUGUUAUAUAAAUUUAUGUUGCACAUAUACCAGUUUUAAUUAUUUUUCUUUAAACAUAUUUAAUUAUUAAAUUAUUUUUAACAUAACUUUUACUUAAUCAAUAAUUAGACUUAUAAAACUAUAUAAAAUAUAUAUAAAUAUAAAUCAAAAUUUAUUAUUAAAAUAUUUUUAUAUCCGCAGCGUCGCGCGGGUCUUUCACUAGUGUGGCAUUAAUCUAAUAUAAUUCUUCUUUCUCUAAUUAUAUAAAUUUAAAAUAUAUAAAUUUUUAUACAUAAUUUUUAAAUAGUUUAAAUUUCAUGGCCAAUUUGCAUGAAAAAUUCACUAAUUUUGGGCUUUUGUAAAAGUUGACAACUUUUUUCGAUUUUGCAUAUUCAGAUUGAAAUUUCAGCAAACUAAUCAAAAUACCUUUAUUAUUUUUUUCUCUCGUUCUUUUUUUUUUCUCUCUCCAAAGAAGGCAGGGGAGGCGGAGGCGGAAAUAGCCCACCUCGCCUCCGCCUCACCUCCACCUCGCAGCCCUCGCCAGUGCACUCCAACCCUCCUCGCCUCCGACCCUACUAAGGCUGCGUCGCCACCUUCUUCUCCACUAGGGCACGACAACGUCGAGACGCAGGCUCUUCUCCUCCACCGCGCGUCAGAACGCCGAGACGUUGCCGGGGGCGGCGAGAUCGCCUUCGACAACGUCGCGUUGGUUGCGAUAGAAAGCAAGGGAGAGGUGAUGACAAAAAAAAAAUUAUGAAUAAUAAAAAAUAAAAAUUUAUUUUUUUCUACAGAAAAGAUCAAAAAAUAUAGGAGAAGAAAGAAGAUGAUGAAAUUGCACUCUUAAAAAAAAAAUUACACUGUUUAAAAAAGACUUGCACUGUUUUAAUAAAAAUUACACUAUUUCAUAUAGAAAUUAUACUUUUUAAAAAUAGACUUUACAUUCUUUAGGCCAGGAUUGCACAAGUUAUGAAAAUUUUGCACGAUUUAUGAGAAUUGUUGACUUAAAUAGAACAGUAUUCUACCCUAUGGCGUGAGGCUGGUUAGGCCGAGUCACAGUCGAGACACUGCACUAGAGAUAAUAAAGUUAAGGUGCAAAUAAAUAUGGUGGCAAAUGUAAGAGUACUAUAGGUCUAUAGGCUACUUGUAUGUAAGGUCAAUCUAUUGCCACGUAUCAUGGCAGCGAAAGAAGCGUCCCGAUCGAGCCCCAAAAAUUUGAACUCACACGCAACUUACACCAAAUUAAGCACGUUUCAAGGGGACUAAUACUAGAAUUCUAGUGGUCGUGAAUGUGCGAGGACUAUAUAUAGGCUAAUUAAUAAAUUGCACGUAAGGUUUAUUGUACUGUUACAGUGUCACGUAUCACUUUCAUAGUGCGACUACCACAAAGAUAUUUUUAUUUGUGAAUUUUAAAAUAUUAACCAAUUUUUUUUUGCAUCAUAAUUAGCUAAGCGGAUAGAAAAAUCAUAAGCUUCCAUUUGAUUGGGGUAUAAGGAGGAAUUACUAUUCUAUUCCUUAAUUACGGAUUAUCAUUCCUUAAUAACAUAUUAUUCCGAGAUAACAUAUUAACGGGUGGGAUUAGCAAUCCCUCCUCUUCCCCUGGAAUAGAGGUGGGAAUAGCUAUUCAUAUCCUUAUUUAAUUUUUAAAUUUAAAUUAUAAAUUAAAAAUUUAAAAUUUGUAAUUUUAAAAUUUAUAAUUUAUAAUUUGUAAUUCUAAAUUAUAAAUUUUAANAUAUAUAUAUAUAUAUAUAUAACUUAUCUGAACUAUGCAUCAUUUUGAAUUAGCUACCAGACGUUUCGAACUUUUGAUUCUAGUAUCCAAUCUUUCGAUUUAUUUUAUUUGUGCCAAUCAACGGCACUUGAACUUCAAAUUUUGAAUACGUCGUUUAUCUUUACGGAUUUAAUUAGUUCUUGCAAGUAUAAACUCAUUAAAGUAAGUAAUUAGCUUAAAUUUUGAAGUCAAUAUAUUACUGACCGAUUCAAAUCAAACAAAAUAAAAAUUUAGAUAGUAAACUUAAAAUUUUGGAAGUUUGGAUUAUUGAUUCAAAGUAAUCCAUACUUUAUAUAAGUUUUGUAUAUAUAUAUUUUAAAAAAAUACUAAAACUACCCAAAAGAAAAUUUUAAAUCCUUAGACAUAUAUAAAAUUUACACUUUAUAUAUUAAGAUGUAGAGCUAGACUCCUAUACUUUCGAAAGUACGGAUGCCUCUAUGCUUGCAAAUUAUUUUCAAUGAUGGAACAUUCGAUUCGGCGAUCGAUUCCGUUAGACAUGAUCUACGCUAUUAGAACUAUCUAAAAACUAAAUUUCAUAAUUUUUUGACUUCAUUUGUCUAAUAAAAGAGUAGCUUAAAAAUGAACGGCUGAAAAUAAAAUACUCAUAAAAAAUAGUAAUAAAAGACUCAAAUUUCAAAUCAUGAUCUUGCUAUUGAUGUUAAGUAGAAUUUUCUAUUAAAAUUUCAUAUAAUUUGGAUCGUUUUACACCAUUGAACUUAAAAACGUGUCACAUCGAUUGCUAAAAUAGUUAUUUUUGAGACCUUUUAAUCACGUAACAAAUAAUGUCGAAAAAUUAUGAAAUUUGGUUUCUAAAUAGUUUCAAUAGAGUAGAUCAUGCCUAAUAGAACUGAUCGUCGAAUCGGAUAUCUUAUCAUCGAAAAUAACUUACAAACACAAAAUUCUCCGUAUUUUCAAAAGUACAGGAAACGUACUCUUAUAAUAUUAAAAACACCAUAACAAGUCCUUGUCUUAAACCUUUCAAAAUGCCUCGCGCCUCCAAUUGUAUAAUAUUAAAAAAACACAGUUCUCUGGUAACUAAUAAACUCCCCAAUGUAUAUUUCCUUAAUUCCAAUAUACAUGGCACAAAAAAUAAAAAAUAAAAAAAAUAAAAAAAGAGCUAGCGUGCAUAGAAAACUUGUUAUGAUUGUCUCUCUUGAAUAAUCUCAAAAUCCCAAUUUCGAGCAUUUACACAAAAUGGAGAUCUUCUCAUUUGAUCACAUUCACCACAUUGCACCCAAAAUGUCAUACAUAACCAAUAAUCACACUAUAAUGCACUUUCAUUUGUGUACAUAAAAACUUCGGCAAAUAACAAUUCACACGAUUUUCGCCGUAAUCUUCAUAAAAGGAAAACAACAAAACCCCAAAGCCCAGAUACAUUAAAUAUUUGCAUAUCAUCGCGCAAACCGUUAGGUUUUAAUACAACUUCACCUGCGAUUACAUUACUUGUAGUUUAUAUAAUCGACUUUCGUCUUUAGUACAUCGAGAAGGCCAUUAAGAACCCUAAGAAGGAGAUGACGACGACAGGGAAGCUGUCGAUUCUCCGACCUUUACGAGCAGCAUUGGCAUUAACGGCCUUCUGCGACUGAGAGAGCUCGGGAGGGCACGAGAGCCCUUCUUUUCCUUCUCUACACUCGCUCGCGAAAAGGCCCGGAGGGUACUUCCCAUAUAAGUUUAUGUAGCUGAACAUCGUCGAGGCGCAGUCGUUCGUGCCGUCGUUUAACUCAUCGGAGUAUGGGCACGCGAAUUCCUUGAAGGCGGAACAACACAACGAGGCCGGGUACUGUGGGCCCUUGCAUUUGCUUGUUAUAAUGGUGUAGUUGAGGAACUCGAAAUUCACCGGGCAACCUGAUUACCGGGAAGAAUAUAUGAAACUUUCUAAGUAUAUAUUUUAUGACCAUUACUGCUUCAAAAGUUAGUUUCGGGUGGUAAAAACGUACAAAACUUACUUGGACUAUGGAGCAUUUUGAGUUGGCUACCAAACCUUUCAAAAUUUUGAUUUUACUACCCAACCUUUCUUUUGUUUGAUUUUAGUCGGUCAAUGACACUUCGACUUCAAAAUUUGAAUGCGGUGUUCUUCUUUACAAAUUUAGUUAGUAUCCUUUAUGCAAUUCUCGCAACCAUAAAUUCAUUAAAGUAGUCAACUUAAAUUGUUAAGUCAAAGUACCGCUAGCUGACACAAAUCAAAAUUUUGAAACGUUUGGCAGCUAAUUCAAAAUGGUCUAAAGCUCAAGUUUAUAUAUUUUUAUCUUUUUAGGUUUUGCAAAUUUGAUCCUCUUUUGUCCAUUUUUGCAACUUCGAACUAGUUUGUGGAGUAAAAAUGGUCACUGGAAAAGAUUGUCAUAAGCAUAUAUGCAUCAGAAGGAUUCCCAGGGGUGUUGCUUCAGUCCAUACAGAGAUUUUGGUCCAAAAAUGAAAAAAGAAAAAAGAAAGAGAGGAUCAAAGUUGCAAAAAAGAAAUCGCCUUCCAUGGAUCUACUACUUGAAGUGACUAGAUUUCUAUUGAGUAGUUAGCUUGAUGAAGUAGAGAUCAACAUAAUACCUAAUUACAUGGCUCAACAAUUUAAAUGAAUUCACAUAUACGAUCGGCUUUACUUUAACCCUAAUAAAUAAAGUGUAAUUACACCCUACUACACUGUAGUUUAAUGUUAUUUUUCUUUCCUACACUGUAAUUUUUUGUUUUGUUCAAAGACACCAUUGGACUAUCAUUAUCUUGUCAAUCUUUAUACCGUCCUUCAGGUAUAUUUUCAUUUGCUGCCCUACACUUCCUCCCCCCCCCCCUCAGAAACAUCAUUAACCUUUCGUUUUCUCGCCAAUUUCUAUACUACCAUCAGCAAACAUACUAUUUUAGACAAAAACUAAUAACUUUAUUACCAGGCACUGGUUAAAUAGUACGAAGAAAGCAAAAUGAGUCACCAAGAUAGAAUCAUCGAAAGCUUCUAUCGAGUUAUUUUCAACUAUUUUACCCGCAAUAUUUAGAAUUUUUCUUUUUUGUUCCUUGUCGACACGGGCCAAAUAAUUCAUGGCAUUCUUUGCCAACUAAAUAUUUCAUCGCAUUCUUUGCUAAUUAAAUUAUAGCAACAGCAAUAAGCUUGGCUUAGUGGAUGUAUGGAGUAGCUUCUAAAAAGUGAUUUUAAGUCCAAAAGUGAUUUUCGGCUUAAUAGAGCAUUUGACACAUCUACUUCUGAUUUUUAGAAUCAGUUUUCUGAUUUUCGAGAUCCAAAAUCAGAAGUAGCUAAAACCUGCUUCUCGAAAUCUGAUUCUGAUUUUGAACUCAAACGUCAAAUUUUUAUUUUUAUUUUAGAUUCAAAUUUUAAAUUUAAAUUCAAAUUUUAAUUUUUAAAUUUUAAAUUUAUAUUUUAAAUUUUAAAUUUCAAAUUUUAAACUUAUAAACUUCAAAUUUUAAAUUUUAAAAUUUAGAUAUUAAAUUCUCAAUUUUCAAUUUUUAUAUUUAUAUUUUGAAUUAAAAGAUCAAAAUUUAAAUUUCUGUGCAAAUUUAAAAUUUAAUAUUUAAAAUUUUAAUUCAAAUUUUAAUUUUUAAUUUAAAUUCAAAUUUGAAAUUUUUAAAAGUAAAAUUUAGUAAAAAAAAUUAUUAUAUGCCAACAUCAAAAAAAAAAAAUUGCUAAACAAUUUUACAAAAUCACUUUAGAAAAAUCAGUUUAUAUCCAAACUCGGUCAAACACUCUACAACUCUUAACCUAAAUCAAUUCUCCAACCCAAAAUCAAUUCUGCAGAAAUUACUUUUCCAGAAUCUAGACUAAACAGACCCUUAGGGCUCCUCUAUGCCUACAGCUAGGUUCAAAUGAUCUGCUAUUUUAAUUACAGAAUAAUAUCUAAUAAGUUCUUCAAAACUUCAAAAAUAUUUUAUUACCCCUGGAUGACCAAAAUACCCAUGUUGAUUUCAAAAAAUUUCUUCAAAUAUCCCCUUUUCCUCCAGGGUUUACUAAUGGGCUUGGGUUUUAAAAAGGUUUUUUGGGUAUUGAGGGGUAAAUUUGAAAUAAUAAUAGGGAAAACUUCAAAAACCCCCCCCCGUGGUUUCGUGGUUUCUCACUUUGCCCCCCUGUGGUUUAAAGUGUAUCAAAUUGCCCCCCUAUGGUUUCGUUUUUAUCUUUUCGGUAGCUUUUUCAUUAAUAUUUCAUUAAAUUAUAUACAAAAAACUUCAAAUACCCAUCUAAAUUUAUCAAAUAUUCACUUUUGUACCCUUUAAUUUUAACUUUAUUACUAAUUUAAGAAAUAAAAAAUAAUGAAAUUGAUAAGAAAAAGAGAAAAAAGAAACCACAGGGGGGCAAAUUGAUACAUUUUAAACCACAGGGUGGCAAAAUGAGAAACUACGAAACCACAGGGGGGUUUUUUGAAGUUUUCCCAUAAUAAUAGUAAGGGGCAAAUAAGCAAAAAGCCCCUUUAAUUAAAUUGUUAGUUGGACGUGGUUUCCAAAUAUGGGAACUAAAUUUUGCAUGUUAGAAAAUAACUUAAUUUAGCUUUACAACUUUCAUACUAUAAUAAAGUCCAGUUAUGUUUUCUCAUCUAUCACUAUCCACCCAAAAAGGAUUUGUAUGAAAAUAUGAUACAACUGUCAAAAGGGAAAGAGAAAAAGAAAUACAACUUAUAGAUUUGACAUGAUCCUGACCAUACAAACCUAAUCGAAGUAAUCUGACUAAAACCAGACCAUAUUAAUUCAGAAUAAAUCUGUAUCAGAUUAGAGCAGAUACAAAUUUAAGAAGCAAUAUCUACCAAAAUUCGACUACACUGAUCGCUUGCUGAGAAAAAUCAACAUUGUCCCGUGACAUCAAUUAUUUUCUUAGAUGCACUUGGCAUGCAGAGAUGCUUUGGAUGGUUUCUCGACUAUUUGUGCAAAUGAUUUGAACAUGUCUUUUAUCUCCAACAAUUUGUUUGUACUAAAUUCAAGAUUUUCUGGACCAAUCUUUGAAGUGGUUAAUUGCUUGUCACAAGGUUGUUCAUAUUACUAAAAUAUAUAGUCGUGAUGAAUGAAAACGUGAAAAGUCGCAUUUUCAGAAAAUAAAACUGAUGCAGAAACAGCUAAUCAGCUGCGGAAGUAUUCUGAAAUGUCAAGGUGGUGCUUGGUUGAGAAAUUUGAGAUUGGAAAUGAGAAAUCCUGUGCUACCAGGAGAACACAUUAAUAUUCCUACUCUAGGGCGGAAUAACCAAAUCGAACGAACAAUGUUAGGAAGAAGAGUAGAAAUGGCCAAUACCAUUUCUUUUUCUUUUUAUGCCAUCACCACUACUACACCCAAUACACUUACUCCACUGCCAAUGGUUGUCAUCACCACUACCAACUCCGUCGUCCCCAACAACACCCUUAUCGGUUUCCAAUGCCAUAAACCGCUAUCAUGAUCGCUCCUCGCACAAUUAUUAUUGGAAUUGAGUGGUGUUGGUUUUGAAUCGGGUUUCAGGUCGCCCAUGAUGGACAAAUAGGACUUCUAAUCCCAAAUCUAAUCAACUACCAUUAAAAGAAGGCAAAAAUAUGCGACAAUUCAUUCAACUCUAGGCCAUUUUGAAAUAGACACCUCAAUUUUGUUAAGAUUUUCAUAACUUUUGAAUAAAAUAUUUGUAGACACCAUUCUCUGGUAGCUUAAACUUUUGAGGAUAAACAACUAUUUCAUAUAAUUUUACACGGCAACAGAGCAGAAAGUCCUAAAUUUGAGUCCCCUAACUUCACUAAAUUUCCUCCAUUUAAUUAUUCUCCAUCUUGGGCGGUUGGGCCUAUAAAAAAGUCUUGAGCCCAGAUGUUUCAUGUAAUUUAACAAUAACCCUCAACCUCUAAAUUCAUAUAAUUUAAGUUAUCUACAUAGAUUAAAUUGGAUUUUUCGUCAAAUUAACAGGGAUUCCAUUAAAUUUAACUGUUUUGAACACUUUUCGAAUUACGGAUUCAAUUAACUGUGAAUUACUGUGAUAGCUAAUUCCUACAAAUCCCCAAUUCAACUAAAAACAACUAAAAGAAAACGAAUCGAAAUUACAGAAUGAAAAAAAUUCAUUUAAAAAACCCAAAUUAGACAUUCAACACAUUUGCUUAACACCGUCUAAAUCGAUUCAGGUAUUAAAUUAGGAGCUAAUUUCCUAAAAUUAGCACAAAAUUUGGCCAUAAAAAAAGGGAUUUUGUGAGAUGAGCUCACUCUUUUUGGCUUGUAGGAGGCUCCGACCAGUGGAUCCGUGAGAUUGGAACACAUCACCUGAUACAUACAUCAUAACACAAAAAAUUAUCCAAAAUAAAGAAAAACUCACAUAAACCGUCAAAAAAAAAACCCUAAAAAAUUGGGGAAAACAGGGGGGCGACAAAAAUGGGGAAAUUGAAAUUGGUACCGGAGAUGGAAGUGGCGGAGGCGAAUCCGAUGAAGAAGAAGAGAAGGAAAAAGAGAAGCGCCUGCGUUGAGGCGCCAUUGCUCGAACCCAUUUCUCUCUCUCGAUCGAAUUCAAAGGAAAUCGAAGAGGAGAGAGAGAGGUAAAAAUCGUACCUUAAGGGUUCAUAGAGAGAGAGAGAGAGAGAGAUAGAGAGAGAUAGAGAGGAGAGAGAGUGGUGGGACGGAGAACGCGGUUAGGGAAAUACGCGGCGAACCGUACAUAAUAACGGAAGGGCCAAAAAUAUGAAAAUUAAAAUUAGGCUAAAUUACAGAAAACCCCCUAUAAAUACUAGAUUUUUUACUUUCAUUCCUGACUUUCAAAAACUUAUAUUUUGGCACCUUAAAAUUCUAGAAAUAUUUUCAGGGGAAUACAGUGUUAAUGAAUAGAACAAAAUAACCAAAUUACCCUUAUUUUUUUUAUAAAAAAUAAUUUUUAAUAUAUUUUUGUAAUUCUGAAUGACAGUUUUAGAAUAAAUUAUAAGAAAUUGAUAGAAUAGUGACGGAAUAGUGAUGGAACCCUGACGGAAGAGUGCUAAAUAUUGAGGGGUAAAAUAUAUGCUUUUAAAAGUUACGAAGAAAAAGUAAAAAAGUGAGUAUUUACAUAAGGUUUUCUGUAAUAUAGUUUAGAAAUUUAAAAAAAGGUAAAUUUCAAUUUGCCCCUAUGGUUUUAGCAAAUUUUUACUUUAGUAUUUAUAGUCUAAAUAGUUGUACUUAACUACUCUAUAAUUUAUCUAUUUUUAUUCUAUUAUUCUAUGGUUUAAAACUCAAUUAUACCCUUUACUUAUUAACGGUGUAAAUUCCAAUAUUAGUUUACAUCUUUUCUUAAAAAUACUUUACUAUUAUAGGGGAAAAAAAAUGUAUGGAGAACCCCUCAACUAUAUGUCUAUUUUGAAAUACCAUCCUCAACUUCUAUUUUUUGAGAUCCCUCAAUUUUUAAUUUUUGUUAUUAGAGUUGUUUUCACCUAAUUAGCUAAAAAUUUAUUAUGUUUAUUGAUUUUGAUUAAUUAACCAUUAUUGACCUAAUUCUAUCUCCUAAAAAGUGAUAAAUUCACCCAAUAUAUUCGAUGAAAUUUUUACAUUUUUUUGACCAAAGUUGCUCAAUUUUAAAAAUUAGAAGAAAAAAAAAAGAGAGAGAAAAAAAAAAAAAGAAGAGUUAAAGGUGCUAAUUAAGAACCGCAUCUAGUUGAGGGGGUCUCCAUACAUUUUUACCAUUAUUAUAAUAUGAGUUUAGGGUUUAGAGUCUCCAUACAUUUUCACUAUUAUAAUAUUGUUUUUUUCAAAUUUUUCUUAUUAAAAAGUAGGCAAACUUCAAAUACCAACCUUGUGAUUUCACACUUUCUCAUUUUAGUACUCUAUAGUUUAAAGUAUAUCAAGUUAGUGCCCUGUGAUUUUAUUUUUAUCUUUUCGUCAGCUUUUUCAUUAAUAUUUCGUUAAAUUAUAUACAAAAAAAUUUCAGAUACCCACAUAGAUUUAUCGAAUAUUCACUUUAGUACUCUUUAAUUUUAACUUUGUCACUGAUUUAACAAAAAAAAUUAAUGAAAUCGAUAAUAAAAAGAUAAAAAUAAAACCACAGGACACUAAAUUAAUACACUUUAAACCACAUGGUACUAAAGUGAGAAAGUAUAUAACCACAGGGAUGAUAUUUGAAGUUUUUUCAAAAAAAAAUAUAAUUCAUAAACAUAGAUAGCUAAGUCACUCUCUCUUAUUUUUUUAAUUUCUUUUUAUUUGUUACUUAUGUCAAUCAACAUCAACAUUAAAUAUUAUGUGUUGCUUUACUUUGUUAUUGAUGUUUGCAUCCAUGAUAUUGACUUGUUGUAAUUAUUUCUUUUCUUUUUUUUGUAUUUUGUAUGAUAGGAUGAGGUUUUGAUGUAUCUCUAUGUGGAUUGUAAGUAGGGGUGUAAUGUGGGACGUACUGGACCGGCACGACUCACAUUUUUCAGGCUAAAAUAGGUCAAGUGCUAGCUCGGCACGGCUAGGCGAUCUGAAACCGGGCCGUGCCAGGCUAGAUUUCUCACAACUCCGGCCCUGCAAGGCCCCCGGCUCGAACGGUACGGGCCAUGCCGAGCCGGAUCGGGCUCCGGGUCGCCCAUUAUUUUUUUUAUUUUUUUAAAAUACAAUAAAUUUUAAAAUAUAAAAUAGUUUUAUAUAUAUAAUUAAACUAUAAAAUUUAGUAGAAAAUAAUAAAAUUUUUUAAAAUUUUAUUAAAAUUUAUAAUAUUUUAAAAUAUAAAAAAUUUUGGACCAAGUUGCCCUUCCCAACAGUCAAAAAUUUGACUGUUGAAAAUUUGACGGUUGGGGAGGACAAUUUGGUCCAAAAGAGGAUAAGGUUGCUCCUCACCCAAGGUCCAAAACCUUGUAAGAGGCCCAAGGUUGUGGCAGGCCUUGAGAAGCCCAAGGUCUGCCACAAGACACACCUUGGGAGAAGGGGAAGCCCUUCUCCCAAAUAGGCCAGACCCAAGGCCUUCGGGGUCGGGCUAAGCCAGCCCAACAGGCACGGCCCACAUGGGCCAUGCCGUGUCAGGCCACGGGUCAAACUGUCGGCCCGGCACGGCCUAGACUCGUUACAGGCAGUGCCGUGCCGGGCCGACGGGCCUAAAAGUUCUGGUCCAGCACGGUCCAGUAUAGGAGGGCGGGUCGGCUCUGUAAGGUAUCUACAGUAUCCGUGCCGGGCCAUGGCCCGGCCCGCUCUCGUGCUGAGCCGGGUGGUCCACAAGCCGCUCGGCCUGUUUGACACCCCUAAUCGUAAGUGCUAAUCAACUAUUCCAAAAAUACAUACUGAUAGGAAGGCACACUUAUCGCACUUAAGGGCUCAACCACAGCAUUCAUAGGUUUCGAUCUGACUCAAUCCAGCUGGACGUUAGGUCUAUUGUUGGGCCUCUUGUCGUCAGAUCUUUUAUAGACCGCGGCCCCAUUCAAGUUAUUAGGCUCAUCCAACUCAAUUAUAGUCUUCUGGGCCUAUUUUAACCCAAUAAUAAAUAGCCAACAUACUCUCUCUCUUGCUGUCUAAACUUUUGCCUCAUAAUUAGGAAAAAAAAAAGGAGUCAAAAAUACAACGAUCAUGUAUGUGACAUAGCAUUUUCAAUCAAUCAUAUUUCUCUUAUGGAAUUCACUCAUUUCAACAUGAUUUUAGAUUUUUUUUUUUUUUACCUUUCUCUCAAAAUAAGAGAAGUGAUUUGUUUAAUAUAGAUGAUGUGGUGUAACUGUUACGUAGUAAACUUUCUUUAUAUUUCAGGCUGGAACUGGGCUUCGUUUGGGUAGGGGCCAUGGCCAAAAAAAUUUCGGGUCGGGCUUUUAUCCAAUUAUUUAAGAAAAUUAAGACUUGGCCCAGGCCCAAAGCCCAAUACUCAUUCGGCUUCAUUUGGUCGAUUUUAUGCAUUUGUCAAAUAGCACAUACUAGUUAAGGGUCCCAUGCGAUGCGGCGUGUAGUAUCCCUGGAGUUCAGCAUUUGAGGCUUGUCGACACAUCUGGAGAGUGUUGGGACAAGUCCGAGUCAUGUUGGCGCGAAAUAGAUGUCAACUGGACUCAGCAGGACGCGAGAGCAAGAAGUUAGCAUUGAAAUCUACAAAUUGCAGAAUUUCAGCAUUUAAUACCGGUACCACCUAGGGGCGUACCGGUACCAUGUAUAUUUUUCUGCGCAGACUGCUCUCACGUUGUAUAUUCUGCUGCGUGGUACCGGUACAACAUUGACUUAGUGCCGGUACUCCAGGGUAGGUGAGGGGCUGUUUGAUCUUUUGGCUGCCUCAUUGUCUUCACCCUUACAUACUCCCUUUAUAUACUUGUGGUGAGGCUAAGAAGGGGGAUUUUGCUACUGUACUCUCUCUCUCUAGCUCUUGGCCGUACGCAAUGAGGAGGACUCGGGUGGAGCCGGAGCGACGUCGACGUUGCGCCGCGGUGCCGUUCGAGCGUACGUUCGUCGCGGUAGCGCCGUUGGGAGGCCGAGCGAGCGUGUGGUUCUGCUUCUAUCGACUUCUUGCCGGAUUUGGAGUAGCUUUCGAGGUGGGUCAAAGUGAUGCGUACCGGAUUUCGCAGAUUUUUCUCCUAAUUUUAUAUUUUGACAGCAUGUGUUUUUAGCUUCGUUUAGUAUAUUGUUUAGCUCAAUUCUUGGAUUUGCAUGUUAUUGAUCUUGAAUUGGAGCUUAGAAUACUAGCUAAAUUAUACAUAUUAGACUUGGUUUUGACUUGGGAGAAAACUGACGUUUCUACAAUGUCAUAUAUUAAAACUAUCAGACUUAGCUCUAGGAGCCGUAGUUUGUUUGUAUCGCCGCAGUUUUGGGCGGUGGAUACCCAGAAUAGUGUAGAAUAUAUUUACGCUCGUGUUGAGAUGCCGAGUACAUUUUUACAGCAGUGUUUAGGUUGUUGCGAAUUGUCGAGUGCCGUUGAGGUUAAUGGUGGACCCAGAUUGCUGUUUUGGCAUCAGAUUGUGCCGAGGGCACGUGAAUUCAGUUGUUAGACCUUGUUUACUUGACUAUAGUCUGUGAGAGCCUGAUUGAGCUCGACAGAGACACGCUUGCAUACUCGGCUAGGUAGCGCCCACGAGUGCCACUCCGGAGUCGGGCUUUGUGCUUUUGCGUUGGUAUCGUUUUGUCCUGGUUGGACUUGCUCUCCAGUGAUGACCUGGUUUGGUGUCAGUUAGUGUAGCUUCGACAGGCGGGACGGUUGUGUUCACAGUCCCUAGUGAGAUAGGGUCAUGAUAUAUAUUUUCUACAGAUUGUUGUGUUAGAGCAUGAUGGUAUAGUGGCAUUUAGCUGUAGAUUUGUUCCAGCUUUCCUUACUAUCCAUGCUUACUUCUGUGACUUAGUGGGUGAGCCGUUGAGGUCGGUAACGGUACCCACUAAGGACUACUUUUUGCAGUAAUUCUCACACUCAGUUGUUGAAACCUUUUGCAGAGCCAUCUUCUUCGGCUGCUGCUGCUGUUAAGUCUGAUCGUGGAAAGGGCGUAGCGAAUUAGAGCCCUUCCUGACAAGUUGCAGAGCUAGAGGAGUACCUACAGGUAGUUGUAGUUUUUGGGUUGUUAUACAUAAUGAUGCUUGUAUCUCGCUGGAGCGAGUAUUUUGUUUACCUGGAUGUGAUGUAUGUAUAGUGAACUUCUGAUGUUAUAUAUGUUUUAUUUCGACAGCUCUAUACUACUGGUUGUGGUGUUGUAUGAUUACAAGUAUAGGUACAGCUAUCGCUUCGUAUACAGAAAAAAUUUCUUUGUAUACGGCGGAUAUGUCGGCGUGCCCGAAAAAACGAGUAAUCCGAGGCGUGACACGGCGAGAAGAUAAUACAACAGUAAAUUAUUAUAACUAUUAAUAUUAUUUUUUUAUUAUGCAUUAAUAUUUUUAAAUAUUAUUUAUCUCAGUAUUGAAUAAUUAAAACUUAAAAAAUAAGUUAAAGAAUGAAAUUAAAGUAUAUUUAUUUUUAAAAAUAUUUAAAUCUAAUAAGUAAAAUGAAUAAAUCAGUUUAAAAUAAAACAAAAGCUCAAUACAGUAUUUAGAAAGAUAAAUAGUAUUUUUUAUUAUCAUAAAGGCCGAAUUUAUAAAUAAAAAAAUAUUAAAAAAUUAAUUAGAGUGAAAGUGUUUUCUUUAAUAUUCUUGGCGGCAACAUUUUCAUUAUGCCCCCAUUAACUUUUAUCGUCACAUAUAACUAUUAGGUUCCAAUUCAUAGUUUGAUAUAAAUAAAUGUAUUUUUAUUGUAUCAAAUUGAAAUAAAAUAUCUAUUUUUAUAAAUUAAAGACCGGAGGUUAAUGACAUCAAAAAUCAAUUUACCUCUGAGGCAUCAUCAUUAUCUAUAUAAUAUAUAAAUAAGUAUGUACAGAAAACACCAUUAAUGACUAUAUAAAUAAUAAAACAUAUCGUUAAUAGUGUUGUAUAGGUCGCGAGGGGAUCAAACAGCUAAAAAAUUACAAGCAGUUGAGCUCCUAUGCGUUUAAAAGCACAGGAUGCUAACCAUAUAUAUAUAGUUGAGUCUCAUAUAUAUAUAUAGGAUAUAUAUAUAGUUCGGCUACUAUACUCUUAUGAGUAUACAGCCUUUGUACGGAUAAGUUUUUAGCCGUUAGAUCUACCUUUUAAUCAUUUCAACCAUUAGAUAAUAUAUAUUCAUACCAUCCACUCAACCCUAAGGGAGUCCACUAUCAACAAUAACCGUAAGCCAGCUUCAUCAUAACGCAUAUUUUUUCACGAAUGGCUGAAAACUUAUGGGACUACAAAGAAGGGGGCCCCUGAUAUCAUAUAAUUAUAGUACCCAGGUAUAUAAUAUAUAUAAAUAUAUAUAUUAUAUAUAUAUAUAUAUAUAUAGUAUAUAGCUAUUAUAUUAUAUAUUAGUGUCAUAUAUAUAUAAUUUAGGCUACUCAUACUAUCUAUAGAAGUAUCGGAGUCGUACUAUGUCUGUUUUUGAUUUUCUGGUGUUCAAAUUAACGAUCCACACCCUUAAAUAUGAUUAUUAGGUAUAUGAAGUUUUUAGAAAUAAAUAUUUAGUUUUUUCUGACAUCGUUUCUUAGAAUAAAUUAAUUCAAAAUGGAUGGUGAAAUGAAUAAUCUUAUAAAAUUGAGUAUUAGAUCUUUUAAAUUCAAGAUCAAGAAUGUUUAACUUGGAAUCUGAGAUAGGUUUAAAGUAUUGUCUAUAAAAUUUGAAGAAAAUUUAGACUUUUACCCGUUUAAAUCACAACUCGCUUAGUCAGCCAUUGAAAUUACAAUUUUGAAAUGGUUUGAUUAUGAAAUAAACUAUGAUCGAAAAAUUAUAAAUUUUAUUUCUAAAAACUUGUAAAUACUCCUAAAUCAUUUAACAGUGUGGAUUCGUUGAUUUGAAUACCCUAAGAUCGAAAACGACACUAUAGUUACCGAGCGUCCCGUACUAUGGAUAGUAUAAAAAACGUUAGCAUCGUAUAUAUAUAUAUAUUAUAUAAUAUAUAUAGAGAGAGAGAGAGAGAGAGAGAGAGAGCUAGGCUGGUAUACUAUCGAUAGCACGGAGGUUUCCGUACUACCAAGUUGUUUUAAAUGAUAUAGCUUCCAAAUCGACAAUCGGCUCCGUUAGACUUGAUCUAUACUAUUGAAAGUAUUUGAAAACUAAAUUUCAUAAUUUUUUGACAUCAUUUACCUAUCAAAUGAGUAGUCUAAAAUUGAAAGGCUAAAAAUAAAAAUCUCAUAACAAAUGAUAAUAAAAUACUUGAAUUUAACACCAGAGGUAAUGAUCAUACUCUAAAUAAUGAAAAAAAAAUUUUAUCAAAAUUUUAUCAGAUUUGGAUUAUUUUACAUCAUUAAAUUAACAAACGCAUCACAUCGACCAUUAAAAUUGUCAAUUUUGAGACCUUUUGAUCACUAGCCAAAUGAUGUUGAAAAAUUAUAAAAUUUAGUUUCCAAAUACUUUUAAUAGUAUAGAUCAAGUCCAACGGAACCGAUCGUCGAUUUGGAAGCCGCAUCAUUAAAAACAACUUGAUAGCACGAAGGCCUCCGUGCUACCAAUAGUAUAUCAGCCUAGCGCUCUCUCUCUCUCUCUCUCUCUAUAUAUAUAUAUAAUAAAAAAUAUUUGGUUAGUUUUUAAUGGUAACUAACAUAUUGGGCUUUGGGGCCGGGUUUGGGAUGGACUUGGACAUAUCUGAAUAGGCCUGAAACUUUUCUACAUAAAUUCUUAAACCCAGCAUAGGCUCAAAGUUACAAGUUGGAAACCCCAAGCUCGGUCUCUAUACAUGGCCCAUCGGAACGGACCUUGUUUAGACUUUGGGCCCAGUUCGAGCCCCUAUUCAUAAUGUUGGCUUAAAUGGGCCAACAUCCUGCCCUGUGGCAGGAGGCCAUGUGGGAUGAGUCAUAUUCGAAAUGGCGUGAGGCUAGGUUGGGCCGAGUCAUGUUCGAAGGCCGAGUCACAAUCGAGACCCGUGGGCGCUGUUUCUGUACGCUUUAAGUGAAUUGAUUGCGUAUUUCUAACAGCUUGAGCUUUUUGGAUUAAUGGUUAGCGCCAACGAUCCGACACAUAAUAGAUAAGAUGUUAUGCGUGCGGCUUACCCUAAGAUCGGAGGUUUGAACUAGAAAUGUCAACGGAUCAGAUUGAAGACGAAUUUAUUUUAAUAGACCCAUUACAUGAACUUAAAUUAAAUAGGAAGCUCUAAUACUAUAUUAAAUUAAAUUAAAUAAUUAUUUUUCUUUAAAAAUUUAAGCUGAUAGAAAAUAAUGUUUUUAUAUUUUUAUAUUUAACGAGAUGUAGUUCAGCAGGAAAUGGUCUCUCACUUGAAAUUAUUAUUUUUGAUCAGUCGGAUUGAAAGCUAAAGAAAAUUUAAUUAGAAGAGAAUUUUUAGUAUCAGAUAUUUGACAAAAUAUAUAAGUUGAUUUAAAUUUUAGAGGAAUAUAAGUCUCUGCACCAGAUGUUGAAAUUCUAUUCAAAACUUUUUGUGAAAGUAUUAGAAACAAUUCUAAUACCAUCAAGAAUUUAAGCCCUCGGUCACAGCAAAAAUAAAGUACGCUAGACGUGCCGCGACGAGAGUGAGGAGAGAAAGAAAUAUAAUUUUUACAAGGACAAAUUUGCAAGAAUAAAAUAAUCAUUUUACGCACCCAUCAUUUAAAAACUAAUGGUGAAUCAAACGGCAGGAACAUAUAUGAACGAACCAGAACUUUUGAAGGAAUAUAUUUACAAAUCACAAAAUUUUCAAGGGGAUAAAUCUGAUCAUUUAAGUUUUGUAGGAAUUUAUCUAUUAUUUGAUAUUUUUAUAAGAGCCUGUAUAUAUGAAAUUAACUCUAAAAAAAAUGCCAAUGCUUCUUCAAAUUCUUCUUCAAUAAAAUAGCAUAAGCGCUUCUCACAGAAGCUGCAACGAGGUCCGAAAAAGAAGUUACUGCUAUGUGUUCAUAAGAACAACAUAAUUUGUAGGUACUUCAGCUUAAGACCAAAUCUAAAUCACCAUCACAAUAUCACAGAGUAUAAAUAGUCGCUGCAAAAAUUAACCAAUAAUUAUUAUAUUUCGUAGAGGAUUACAAAACUAACCUCCUUCGCUUUUCCAUCAAAUUGAUUUUAAAAAUUAGAAUCAAAUUUUGAAAACGAGACUACCUAACGCUCUAUUGAGCCGAAAAUUAUUUUGGAGUCCAAAAUCACUUUUCAAAAUGCAGACCAAACACCCAAUUUGUGAACUAAGAUAUGAAGAUCCAGUCCCAGUCCAAUUUUGGAAACCAAUUUGAGAUGGGAGUUUUAGACGACUAGGCUUAUAGAAUUUUUUAAUUUUAAGAGUAAGCAUUUAAUAUUUUUAUUUGUAAAAGUAGGUCUAAGCAGUUUAUUUCUUUCGGACCAUAUCAUACACGGAGAAUAAAGUAAUGACGAUGCUUUUCCACAAAAAAAAAAAAAAAAACCUAAAACUGUGGUGCAUCAUGCACCAGGUGCAUGAAAUAAUUUCUAGCUCGACGGUUCUGUAGCGAGAAAAGCUUCGCGCUCGCCCUACUAAAAAGCCUCGUCUCUUCCUCACAAACACCCCAAACCAGAGCUAGCGACGUUAAUGGCGACCGAAUCCCCGAUCCAAACCCUAAUUCUAACCCUAACCCUAACCCUAGGAAGCGUCGGUGGAGGAGGAUCACAAGCAGGAGGAGAUGGAUCGAGGAAGAAGACGAAGAAGAAGAGGAGGAGGAGGAGGAGAAGGAUUGAUGGAGCAAUGGCGCAGAACGAUCCGAGCCGCGGAGUGAAAUCCUAAUCCUAAUCCCGGAGGAGAGACGGACGCGGAUUCGCGGAUUUGAAAUUGGGAGCAGUUUAAUUCUCGAUUCCUAGUACAAUUAGGAUUGCAAUUCAAAUAGAAUUUUCUUUUAUUGAUUUCUACUAGUCAGAGUAGAAUUGGAAUUAUAUGGAAAUAUACAUAUAUGUUAUAAAACCCCUCUUUCUCUCUUCGUUUCCACACUCCCAAACUCUGGUUUACACUAACGCGGUCUCACACACACAAUCACACACGAUCACACGCUUCUUGAUCCCCAUAUGGCCUUGCUUGUUGCGGAGAAGUCACCUCAGCGGCCGCAAGGUGAUGAUGGUGGUAGCAGUGAGAAUGAAAUCACUAGAGACAAUAGGACUGCUGGUGGCGGCGAUGGUGGCGGCGGCAAUGGGGAAGUUAUCACGAAAGACGGGUUCAACGAACCAGCGAACAUCAGCGUCCUCGCUGCAGGGGCAGAGGCAGGGGCAGGGGUGGGCGCGAACAUCGCUGCGCGCAAUGGAACAGUGUCUGACGUGAAAAGGGGAACGAGCUCGAAAAAGAAGGGGAGCAGUAGCAGCUCUGCCGCAGGCGGCAGCGGGGCCCACACAUGCGAGAAGUGCGGGAGGACGUUCGCGACGGGGCAGUCGCUGGGCGGCCACAUGAGGAAGCACUACGAGGGCCCGCUGAUUAUUACAAACAAGAAAAGAGCUCGCGAGCAGCGAGAGGAGACGCCCGCCCCGGCAGCUGAGCGCAAAGUAGUGAGGAUGGUGAGUUACUUCAAUGGGCCUUUUUUGGAAUCGCAUAAUCCUGCGCUUCUGUCGCAAUCCGAGCAAGCGAGCGACGCUGGUGAUUAUGGGAGAGGCAUCGGAGCCUGCCGUCUGCACAACUUCUUCCCUAAUGAGCUGCCAGAGCCAGAGGAGGAGCCUAAGAACGCGCCGGAGAGGAAAGAUGAUGACGAAUUGCUCUCCUUGCGACUUGGUCGGACAUGGAGUGGUGUUUAAUUUUUUUUGUUUGUUUCUUUCGAUUAUUAUUUUUCUUUUUUUUUUUUUUUCUUGCUCUGAAAUUCUCAUUUCGGAUAGUGCAGCCCUUCAAUUCUUUGUAGUUCCUCAGAAGUUGAGAUAAAAAAAGAAUAUGUACUGUUGAGUCACUUAGCAUCUGUACUUGUUGCUUCACUUAAUUAUUGUUUCACUUAAUUAGCAUCUGCGCAAAUAAUUAACUUCAAAUCCUCAGUUUUAACUUCUGAUUCCGCUUAGUUGCUAUUUUACUCGCAGUAAACCACCUCAUGGAUAAGUUCUAACUAAACUAACUCUACACUUACAAUUACAUCAUGCAAAAUGUAACACCACAAAUUGGAACAAUGUUCUGUUUCGUGCAGAAUGAUGAUGCUAGUAUUUAAAUGGAUUUAUAUUGGUAGUUGCAUGCCGUAAUUGGUCAAUGAUUCUUGAUGCUUCACCAUGGUCUAAGCUGCUUAAUAAGCUAAUUAGUAAUUACUCUUUCUAGUCAAUGCCUCUCAAAACCUGGUGAUUUUGUUUAAUUGCUGCACGAAGGAAUCACUCCUCCUUCCUGUGUGUUUGGUUACACUAAUCUAAUUACAGAGAUAUUCUGCAUGUCAGUAUUUUAAUGACCAGCUCUUCUUCUUUUUUUUUUUCGAUUUUGCAUUCUCAAAUUUGGAGGUAGCAUGGCUGGCGAAAAAUUUCAAAAUUAACUGAUGGAUUGGUCAAAAUGUAUAAAACAAACUUGUCUGAAUCAUAGGCCACUGCUCAACAUUUCGAAGCUUUGAUUUUAGUACCCAAGCUCUCAAUUUGUUUAAUUUAAUAUAGAAUAUGCUACCUGCCUGCGUAAAUUCAAAUUUUGUUAGUAAAUAAUCAUUAACAAGCUCAAAUCAAAUAAAUUAAAUGUUACGUAACAAAAAAAAAAAAUCUAGAAAUUAGGCAGUCAGAUCAUCAGAUCAAAAUGGGUGAUUAUUGAGGAACCAAAAGAAGAACAGCUGUUUGAUAUUUGUACCUUAUAUAUAUAUAGAGAGAGAGAGAGAGAGAGAGAGAGAGAGAGAGAGUGAGGCUACUAUACUUUCGGAAGCACGGAGCCUUACGGGCUUCCAGGUCGUUUUUGAUGUUGCGAUUUUCGAAUCAUCGAUUAGCUUCGUUAAACUUGAUCUAAAAUAUUUAAAGUAUCUAGAAAAUAAAUUUUGCAAUUUUUCGAUAUCAUUUGCCUAGUGAACUAAGGUGCUCAAAAUCAACGGCUAAAAAUAAAAAUCUUACAAAACGUGAUAAUAUGACAUUAAAAUUUUAGAUCAAAGAUAUUGAUCUUGUUUUAUAUAGUAUAAAGAAUUUUCUAUCAAAAUUUCACUUGAUUUGCAUAUUUCUACACCGUUAAACUUGUAAAUGGUUCACCACGGCCUUUAAAAUUAUUGAUUUUGAGUCUCUUCGACCACUAGACAAAUGAUAUCGAAAAAUUGCAAAAUUUAUUUUCUAGGUACUUCAAAUACUCUAGAUCAAGUUUAAUGGAGCCGAUCGACGAUUCGAAAGUCGCAACAUCAAAAACAACCUAGAAGAACGGAAGGCUCCGUGCUUCCCAAAGUAUAGUAGCCUCACUCUAUAUAUAUAUAUGCUCAUAUAGAGCAGGGCUGCUGUGCUCUCAGGAGCAUAGAGACCUCCGUGCUCCUGAGCUGUUUUCGAUGAUGGAAUUUUCAAAUCGACGAUCGGCUCCGUUAGAUUUGAUUUAGGAUAUUUGAAGUUUCUAAAAAAUAAUUUUAGCGAUUUUUUGAUAUCAUUUACCAAGUGAUCGAAAGGAUUCAAAAUCAAUAAUUUUUAAUGGUUGAUAUCUGCCGUUUUCAAGUUUAACGGUGUAGAAGUAUUCAAAUCAGAUGAAAUUUUGAUACAAAAUUCUUUAUACUAUCUACAACAAGGUCAAUAUUUCUGAUCGAAAAUUUUUGUUCUAUAUCACCACUUUUUAUAGGAUUUUUAUUUUCAACCGUUAAAAAUUAUUGAUUUUGUAUUCUUUCGAUUGCUAGAUAAAUGAUAUCGAAAAAUCGCAAAAAAUAUUUUCUAGAAACUUCAAAUACGCUAGAUCAAGUCUAAUGGAGCCGAUCGUCAAUUCGAAAAUUCCAUCAUCGAAAACGGCUGCCUCCGUGCUCCUGAGAGCACAA